rnacentral:lncRNA from 1 species
AGAUAAUAAUAAUAAUCAUGUUUCCAUAAAAUUGCUAAGUCCAGAGAUAAUACAUAAACAUAGUAGACUGUUCAUGACACAUAUCACGGUGGACAGUGUUUGUGUCCUUAUUACAAGCAACGAGAGAUGCUCGUCACCAACACGCGCGCGCACAGAUGCACGACAUACAUAUAGUAGAGACCAACAGAUGGUCGUCCCAUAUGGUGAACAAUUUAUUGGAGAUAAAUAUUAACGUAACUUGGCCAUAGCUUGAAGCAUAGCAACAUAUGCCUAUGAGUGGCAUUCAUGCUAUCGUUUUAGGCUUGUCCAGCUCCUUCCAUCUUAGCAAGCACUUCCAUUUCUACCAUCUUAGCAGCAACUGUCAAAUUGAGAUACGGAAAUCCCAUUAGCGCAUGAGUUAAUUUUGCAGUGGAAAUAGAGUACAAGAUGUCUUCAUGAUGUAAGUAAUAUGCCUGAAGUUGUGAGAUGGGAAGUGAAGUCAACAAAUUACAUUAACGGAAAUGCAUGGAAGGCCACACAUACGUAUUAGUCCAUGAUAUGCUACAAAGCUUGUAUGUACAUAUAGCAAAUUAAAUGCAUUAAUUGAAUAGAGUGUGUUUAGUGAAUUUACCAGAAUCGUCCAGAAAACAUGGGAAACAGCAAGUGUUCUUGCAGACUGCGUCGGAGGCACCCGCACGAAUACAAAGCUGACAACAUAGUUUUGCCUGGGCGGAUGCGCAGCAGCCGCACUCCGCCGCGGUGGGGUUAACAUUGAGGCUCAAGAUGACCAGGCACAUGAUCACCAUCAAAGUGGUAGUCCUCUUUCCCUCCAUUGCCUCCUCUUAGCUUGCUGCUACCUUCCUUGGUUACCUAGCUAAGUUUAUUGGUUUUGUGUUGAGAGGUGUGAUUCUUGAAUGGACGUUGCCGGCGGCAAUUUAUAGGCAGCUGAGCUAUGUGAUGAUAUGGACUAGGUGCAAAUGGGUGGUUAAUGGCAAGGAAAGGGGCGUCAGACAAAGCCCAAUGGCAACUGCUGACAUGCGAUUAAAUUCAGAUCCACAUCCGGCCAUUCAAUAAUACGGUUGGAGUUGUGGCACAGAUAUAUUAUUGCAUGAUCAUCAAGAUAAGAUCGUACAGUGACUGAGUGAGACAAUAAAUAGCCAAGUAAACUAUUUUAUCCUGCUGCAAGCUGCAUUCAUAAGUUUAUUUCACCUUUGAUCACAAUACUCUUCACACACGUACGUCUCAGGGAGAUCUCACUUCCGCUGGACUGCUCACUUCCGCUGUCGUCGGUACUGCCAAAGACAUAAGCUCACAUCUGCUAUUGCGGAGCAGGCCAAUUUGCUGCGGAACUUCGGCGACGACCUGAAGGACAUGAACUCGGUGCUGGAGUCCAUCUCAGCAGCGCUCUAGGACGCUGACACCGGUAGAAAAACGACCUUCCAUCGUCAACAAAAAUCCCGGUAGCUUUUUUACUCGGUACUAAAGAGGUUUUAAUCUCGUGCAAACACCUUUAGUCCAGAUUGCUAUUACCACGCAACCCGGACUAAAGCGUCCCCCGCGAGUUAGUAUAUAAGGAUUGCAUCCUUUACUCAGUCAGAUAUAAUAUGUAGGUGAGAUGGUAAGGAAGCUAUGCGUGAGGCUUCAGGUUGUGGGUUCGAAUCCAAGUGGGUGCAGCUGUGGCUUAAGCGGCUGAGGCACGCCGCCAUAGACAUCUCAGAUUUGCUCGAAGACUACCAAGACACUAGUGAACCCUUAACAGUAAAGGUGAGUACUUAUGAAUGUCAGCAUCCAUGUUGUCCAUGCUUCCAAUGUAAUAACAAGAUGGACUACUCUUCCUAGCGGACUCUUCACAACCACUCGUAAAGCUAUGCGUUUCUCAAUGCAAUUUCGUAGAAGCCAAUCGAUCCAACCAAGUGACUAAAUCAUUCGUCCUUUCCAAUGAUGUGCAUCAGGUUUUCUAUAUGAAGGGCAUGUCUAGCAAACCUAAGAUUUCAGAAGAAAAAGAAAAAUCAUUGGAGCCAAAGAGCCACAUAGUUCUUCUAGGAAAAAAAUCAUGGGAGUCGAGAACAUAUCAAACCAAUCAGGGGAUUAUGGUCAGCUUAAUGGCAUGCCUCCAUUCGAUGUCGAAGUUCACCCAAGCAUCAUGUUAGCCAAACAUCAAAUGUUCGUGCGUUGUUACGGUAAAGAUCAAUUGUGUUUUUUAAACUCUUGGAAUUUUUUUAUCUAAGUUUUUAUUUACACUUAUUGGAUGUCUACACAUUUGCUAGAAAACUAAAAUAAUUUGGACUUAAUUAUUUCUUUCAACUGAAGUACUCACUAAAUUUCUACCUUUUUAUUUAAGCAAGAGAGUUGCUAAAAAAAAUGGAUACGUAACCAUGUUGUAUCAUACAAAGUAACCACGUUUCACAUAUAGUCCGGCUUAGCAAACACCAUUGUUUUCUGAACAUAGCGUACAUGAGUUAACAGACAUGGAUUUAUUUCUAUUGCAAGUAGCAUAGCGUACAACCUGCCUGCACCGAUGCAGCUCAAUAUGCGAUAAUUUUUAUCUUCCCAUGUAAUUUUUCUACUCUAGUACAUAUUGAACUCCACAUUAAUGUCAUGUUCUUUCGCGCCCCAGAAGGUUCCUAAAGUUUGGAAACUUAAUAGAUAGCCAGAAUUUUUUUUAAAGAUAUUUAUAUGGAUACUUGUAUGUUCUUUCCAAACUAACAAUAUUGUUUACCAAUAUCAGAAGGAAUAUGGUUAGGAGCCAUUGCCGCAUAUGGCAGGUGAUGGUAGAUGGCGUAUGGGGUUUCGUUAAUUUAAUGGUAUAAUAAGCUGAAAUACAUUUUCUAUUUGCAAAUGAAUCAUAGCUGAAAUUGGUGGGAUUGUUUUUUCGCCGGUUUAGCAUCCUGUGCACCAGUUCAACCGGAGGGAAGCUGUUUUUUUUCUUUGGUUUUCCACCGGUUCACCGAGACCGAUGACAAUUUUAUGGCAGAAUCAUUACUUGUUUUACUAUUAGGUGAAGAUUUUAGCGUUUAGGUAUCUCACAUUAAACGCAACUUCAACAAUCUAUUUCUAGUGUAUAAUGUAGGAGACCCCGUAAAGAGUCUACACACACAUAUAUGUUGACUAUGAAUGUAAGUUUGUUGGUUUUAUGUAUGUUCGUUUGGAGUUUAUAUAAAUUUUACAUUUUAUAGUUUUGUGUAUAUGACGAAGAUCCAUGACUUGCAUUAAUUUAGCCUUUCUUCCAACAACUCUUAUGCAUGAUGUUUCUAGGCGAGCGUACUGGUUGCAAUUUUGGUCCCCGAUAUAGUGUGAGGACUUAAGGGACACGUGCAGGUCGUAACCUUAGAUAUUUUUGCUGAGAAUGGAUGAAGAAGCAAUAAUAUACUUUGCUUCUGAUUUUCUCCAUGUCAUUUGCUUACUCUUAUCCCUUUUAUUUAUCAUUAUAAGAUGAAAAUAUUGUAAAAACUUGGCUACGUGCGGUCGCAGAAGCUAGAGACUAAAGCGUCCCCCACGAGUUACUAUAUAAAAGGAUUGCAUCCUCUACUCAGUCAUAUGUACUGUGUAGGUGAGAUGGUAAGGAAGCUAUGUGUGAGGCUUGAGGUUGUAGGUUCGAAUCCCACGCACCGCGUGCGCAUGCGCAUAUUUUGCGUGAAAAAUCGCAUGACUUGUGGUCGGCCAAGGAGAAGUGCGUGCGGCUGAGGCACGCCGCCAUAGACAUCUCGGAUUUGCUCCAAGACUACCAAGACACUAGCGAACCCUUAACGGCAAAGUUGAGUACUUACGCGUGUUAGCAUCUAUGUUGUCCAUGCUUCCAAUGCAAUAACAAGAAGGGCUACUCAUCCUAGCGGAUUCUUCACAACCACUCGUAAAGCUAUGCGUUUCUCAAUGCAAUUUCGUAGAUGUCAAUCGAUCCAACCAAGCGACUGAAUCAUUCGUCCUUGCUAAUGAUGUGCAUCAGGUUUUCUAUAUGAAGAACAUGUCUAGCAAAUCCAAGAUUUCAGAAGAAAAAUAAAAAUCAUGAGAACCAAAGCACCACGUAGUUCUUCCAGGUAAAAAAAACAAUCAUCCACUGGGAUGACACACAGUAGCGAUCCAAAACGUCCAUAUUAAGACUUUUUGAUAGCAGAAAAAACAUGAAAAUGUCUAAUAUUUGUAGUAUUAAAAGGAAAAAUAAUAUAUUCACUUGACCUUUUUUUCGUAGCAACGCACCGGUGCGUAGUCAGACUUAGGCCACGUUUGGAUACUCCCUACUAAAGUUUAGCACCUGUCACAUAGGAUGUUUGGAUACUAAUUAGGAGUAUUAAACAUAGGCUAAUUAUAAAACUAAUUGAACAGAUGGAGUCUAAUUUGCGAGACGAAUCUAUUAAGCCUAACUAGUCCAUGAUUUGACAAUGUGGUGCUACAGUAACCAUUUGCUAAUGGUGGAUUAAUUAGGCUUAAUAGAUUCGUCUCGCGAAUUAACAUAGGGUUCUGCAAUUAAUUUUAUAAUUAGCUCAUGUCUAGUCCUUCUAAUUAGCAUCCGAACAUCUGAUAUGAUACUGCUAAAGUUUAUCACCUAGUAUCCAAAUACCCCCUUAAUGCACGAUGCCUGUGCAUCCACUGGGCCUACCCUCGUGGAUCACGCGCUCGUGGAUCACGCGCACCAUGACAUGGCUCAUUAGCUAGUCGUGCUAAUCCUUACCACCAAAUUAAAAACUAGCAUGUGUUGUGUGUUUGUGACCCUAAACGACUACCACCUUCCCGAGUCCACCGGAGUUGCCAGUUCACCACUAAGCUGACUCUCCGAGCUUCAUGUCACUGUCACCGCUCCAAAGACCUAGAUCGGUUCGCUGUGCACCCCGCUUCGUCCUGAGCUAAAUCCCAUCACGAAAGGUGACCGGAUGCUCGUUUUCGAGCGAAUUCUAGCGAGAUUGCCACCACCUUUCCCCUUCCAGCCGAUCGCAGCUGUCUGAUCACAAACCGACAGCCCAGAUCGGAUUUGACCAGGUCAAUACCGGUCAAGCCGAGAUGCAUGCUGCUUUUGCAAGAAGGCCCCUAUUUUUCUCUCUUUUUGCACUUGAGGUCCUACGCAGUUCAAAAGUAAUUAGAUCUAGAUCCUUUUUCUUCUGUUUUAGCCCUGUUCUUUUAUAAAAUCCCACCCGCCAUCCUGUUUGGUAUUUUGACAUGUUAGACCUUCUAUUUAUAUGUUUAAUUAGGUUUUAGCCCUUGGUUUCUUUAAGUUUAGCUCUUGGAAGUUUAGUUUUCUCGCAGUUAAGCCCCUGAACCUUGUUUAGUUCAUAUCUUUAGCGUUUUAAAUCCGUUUUAAGAGAUUCUUACGCCCAUAAGUUCGUGUUGAUGCAUAGAUUAGUUGACUUAUACGGACCUUGCUGAUUCAGCUCCUUCAUUGUGCUUCAGAUCUCGCUAGUGAAGAAUAAUGGAUGGGCUUUGGUUGAGCUUGUAGAUCGACCUGCAGUUGCAGUGAAUGUGCUGAGGACUGGCGGUACCAAUAAUGGGAGGCCGCUGCUCUGCUUGCUACCAAGGCCUGCGACGCUUGGACGCCAUUCAGAGUGCAUAAUUUCCAAGGAUCUCAAGGGCUCCACACCACGUUCCAAGUGUUUUUUCUUUGCCGAGUGUUUUUAGCUCGGCACUUGGCAAAGAGCUUGUUUGCCGAGUGUCCGAAAAAAACACUUGGCAAAGAGAAAACACUCGGCAAAUUUGAUGUUUCCCGUAGUGAUGUACUAUUCAAACUUGAACUGGGAUGCAGGCUUCAGUACCAAAGAGAGCUCUGGGCGCGGGUGAGCAGUGAGCUGGCCGGGCAGGGAGCUCCAAAGCGACAGCAACAAAGAGAGAAAUGCUAAGAGUAAGAACGACACACGAGGUCACUUCACAUAGAUAAUAGCAGUACGAACCAUACAAUAUCCUCUCUCAGUUUCACUCCGCCUCACACACGGCUAGCACACCAUGCAUGCCGAUUUCAUAUUAUUAAUAUUAUUUUUUGGAUGGUUGUUGAAACUAUAUAUAUAGUUAGUCCAAUCUCACGUUUCCGAUUAUAAAAAUCAACGUAAAGAGAUCGGUAGGGAGAGCCGGCAUAAUGAAGCCGACGCGUGUAAUAAGCACCAGAGCCGGCAUUUAUACAAACUGGUACGAAUAGUAAAAAACUAGAAUUUAUAAAUAAAAAAAUGAUUUGCACAUCUAUGCAAUAAUUAGGGGUUAGUGGCAGGUCUAGAGAGAUAUCUCAUCAUUAUAUCCGGUUUAACGAGGAUAAAAAAGAGUGUAUUUUCCACUCAUCAUGUUGUCUUUUCGCAGCGGUACCACUUUUCGUGUGUUGUAUCGGUCCCCUAAUACGGAGUCUCCGAGGCCCGAGAAAAUAAGGAAAGUGAUAGUAGCCCAGAAAUCGGCCAAGUUUCUUUCCCCUUUGGCUUUCCUACUAGGAUUCAGAAUCCUCUUUCGCAUGACAAUCUUAAUUAUCUCCCAUACUCCAAAACUCACAAAAACAUCAAGAGUCCGCUGAGAAUAAAUUUAAGUAAAAAACAUGCACACACAGAUAAUAAUAAUAAUCAUGUUUCCAUAAAAUUGCUAAGUCCAGAGAUAAUACAUAAACAUAGUAGACUGUUCAUGACACAUAUCACGGUGGACAGUGUUUGUGUCCUUAUUACAAGCAACGAGAGAUGCUCGUCACCAACACGCGCGCGCACAGAUGCACGACAUACAUAUAGUAGAGACCAACAGAUGGUCGUCCCAUAUGGUGAACAAUUUAUUGGAGAUAAAUAUUAACGUAACUUGGCCAUAGCUUGAAGCAUAGCAACAUAUGCCUAUGAGUGGCAUUCAUGCUAUCGUUUUAGGCUUGUCCAGCUCCUUCCAUCUUAGCAAGCACUUCCAUUUCUACCAUCUUAGCAGCAACUGUCAAAUUGAGAUACGGAAAUCCCAUUAGCGCAUGAGUUAAUUUUGCAGUGGAAAUAGAGUACAAGAUGUCUUCAUGAUGUAAGUAAUAUGCCUGAAGUUGUGAGAUGGGAAGUGAAGUCAACAAAUUACAUUAACGGAAAUGCAUGGAAGGCCACACAUACGUAUUAGUCCAUGAUAUGCUACAAAGCUUGUAUGUACAUAUAGCAAAUUAAAUGCAUUAAUUGAAUAGAGUGUGUUUAGUGAAUUUACCAGAAUCGUCCAGAAAACAUGGGAAACAGCAAGUGUUCUUGCAGACUGCGUCGGAGGCACCCGCACGAAUACAAAGCUGACAACAUAGUUUUGCCUGGGCGGAUGCGCAGCAGCCGCACUCCGCCGCGGUGGGGUUAACAUUGAGGCUCAAGAUGACCAGGCACAUGAUCACCAUCAAAGUGGUAGUCCUCUUUCCCUCCAUUGCCUCCUCUUAGCUUGCUGCUACCUUCCUUGGUUACCUAGCUAAGUUUAUUGGUUUUGUGUUGAGAGGUGUGAUUCUUGAAUGGACGUUGCCGGCGGCAAUUUAUAGGCAGCUGAGCUAUGUGAUGAUAUGGACUAGGUGCAAAUGGGUGGUUAAUGGCAAGGAAAGGGGCGUCAGACAAAGCCCAAUGGCAACUGCUGACAUGCGAUUAAAUUCAGAUCCACAUCCGGCCAUUCAAUAAUACGGUUGGAGUUGUGGCACAGAUAUAUUAUUGCAUGAUCAUCAAGAUAAGAUCGUACAGUGACUGAGUGAGACAAUAAAUAGCCAAGUAAACUAUUUUAUCCUGCUGCAAGCUGCAUUCAUAAGUUUAUUUCACCUUUGAUCACAAUACUCUUCACACACGUACGUCUCAGGGAGAUCUCACUUCCGCUGGACUGCUCACUUCCGCUGUCGUCGGUACUGCCAAAGACAUAAGCUCACAUCUGCUAUUGCGGAGCAGGCCAAUUUGCUGCGGAACUUCGGCGACGACCUGAAGGACAUGAACUCGGUGCUGGAGUCCAUCUCAGCAGCGCUCUAGGACGCUGACACCGGUAGAAAAACGACCUUCCAUCGUCAACAAAAAUCCCGGUAGCUUUUUUACUCGGUACUAAAGAGGUUUUAAUCUCGUGCAAACACCUUUAGUCCGGAUUGCUGUUACCACGCAACCCGAACUAAAGCGUCCCCCACGAGUUACUAUAUAAGGAUUGCAUCCUUUACUCAGUCAGAUAUAAUGUGUAGGUGAGAUGGUAAGGAAGCUAUACGUGAGGCUUCAGGUUGUGGGUUCGAAUCCAAGGAGAAGUGGGUGCAGCUGUGGCUUAAGCGGCUGAGGCACGCCGCCAUAGACAUCUCAGAUUUGCUCGAAGACUACCAAGACACUAGUGAACCCUUAACAGUAAAGGUGAGUACUUAUGAAUGUCAGCAUCCAUGUUGUCCAUGCUUCCAAUGUAAUAACAAGAUGGACUACUCUUCCUAGCGGACUCUUCACAACCACUCGUAAAGCUAUACGUUUCUCAAUGCAAUUUCGUAGAAGCCAAUCGAUCCAACCAAGUGACUAAAUCAUUCAUCCUUUCCAAUGAUGUGCAUCAGGUUUUCUACAUGAAGGGCAUCUCUAGCAAACCCAAGAUUUCAGAAGAAAAAGAAAAAUCAUUGGAGCCAAAGAGCCACAUAGUUCUUCCAGGAAAAAAAAAUCAUGGGAGUCGAGAACAAAUCAAACCAAUCAGAGGAUUAUGGUCAGCUUAAUGGCAUGCCUCCAUUCGAUGUCGAAGUUCACCCAAGCAUCAUGUUAGCCAAACAUCAAAUGUUCGUGCGUUGUUACGGUAAAGAUCAAUUGUGUUUUUUAAACUCAUGGAAUUUUUUUUCUAAGUUUUUAUUACACUUAUUGGAUGUCUACACAUUUGCUAGAAAACCAAAAUAAUUUGGACUUAAUUAUUUCUUUCAACUGAAGUACUCACUAAAUUUCUACCUUUUUAUUUAAGCAAGAGAGUUGCUAAAAAAAAUGGAUACAUAACCAUGUUGUAUCGUACAAAGCAACCACAUUUCACAUAUAGUCCGGCUUACCAAACACCAUUUUUUACUGAACAUAGCGUACAUGAGUUAAGAGACAUGGAUUUAUUUCUAUUGCAAGUAGCAUAGCGUACAACCUGCCUGCACCGAUGCAGCUCAAUAUGCGAUAAUUUUUAUCUUCCCAUGUAAUUUUUCUACUCUAGUACAUAUUGAACUCCACAUUAAUGUCAUGUUCUUUGGCGCCCCAGACGGUUCCUAAAGUUUGGAAACAAAAUAGAUAGCCAGAAAUUUUUUUAAAAAAUAUUUAUAUGGAUAUUUGUAUGUUCUUUGCAAACUAACAAUAUUGUUUACCAAUAUCAAAAGGAAUAUGGCUAGGAGCCAUUGCCGCAUAUGGCAGGUGAUGGUAGAUGGCGUAUGGGAUUUCGUUAAUUUAAUGGUAUAAUAAGCUGAAAUACAUUUUCUAUUUGCAAAUGAAUCAUAGCUGAAAGUGGUGAGAUUGUUUUUUCGCCGGUUUAGCAUCCUGUGCACCGGUUCAACUGGAGGGAAGCGGUUCACCGAGACGGAUGACAAUUUUACGGCAGAAUCAUUACUUGUUUUAUUAUUAGGUGAAGAUUUUAGCUUUUAGGUAUCUCACAUUAACAAUCUGUUUCUAGUGUAUAAUGUAGGAGACCCGUAAAGAGUCUACACACACAUAUAUAUGUUGACUAUGAAUGUAAGUUUGUUGGUUUUAUGUAUGUUCAUUUGGAGUUUAUAUAAAUUUUACAUUUUAUAGUUUUGUGUAUAUGACGAAGAUCCAUGACUUGCAUUAAUUUAACCUUUCUUCCAACAACUCUUAUGCAUGCUGUUUCUAGGGGAGCGCACUGGUUGCAAUUUUGGUCCCCGAUAUAGCAUGAGGACUUAAGGGAGACGGGCACGUCGUAACCUUAGAUAUUUUUGCAAGAAGCAAAUUAUACUUUGCUUUUGAUUUUCUCCAUGCCAUUUGCUGACUCUUAUCCCUUUUAUUUAUCAUUAUAAGAUGAAAAUAUUGUAAAAACUUGGUUACGUGCGGUCGCAGAAGCUAGAGACUAUUUCUUUUUUUAAAAAUACGCAAGAGGGAGAAACUUGGUAACAGCUAGACAGUGAAGAUCGCAUUUCAUAAGAAAGAUGGUGCACGUUCUUGUUUGGCUGUUAACGAAAUGACUUCGUUUCACCACACCACCAGAGAGCCCCAUUGCACUUGCAGCAAAAGCGUGGAGCCGCUUUCAACCAGCGUGCAAUAAUGCAGUCCCGCGUGUCUUGGUCUUACAGGAUAUUUGGUUCUUUAGUCCGGACUAAAAUUCAUGUCGCAUAGAAUAUUCAGAUGUUAAAUAGGAGGACUAAACAUGAGCUAAUUAUAAAAAUAAUUACACAAAUGGAGGCUAAUUCCCAAGACAAAUCUAUUAAGUCUAAUUAAUCCAUCAUUAGCACAUGUUUACCGUAGCACCGUAUUGUCAAAUCAUGGACUAAUUAGGCUUAAUAAAUUCGUCUCGCAAGUUAGUCUCCAUCUAUACAAUUUGUUUUAUAAUUAGUCAAUGUUUAAUACUCUAUCUAAACAUUCAAUGUGACUGAAAUUUUAGGAGGUCCUAAAGAACCAAACACCCCUUAGUCUCCGCCUGAACUAUAGCAGGUGCUGGCAGCGGUAGCAGGGUCGUCCAUUAUAUCUAUGGAUGGAAAUGAUCUGAUUCGGAUGGAAUCGAAUUCGAAUAGCACUUUUUACCACAUACUAAUCUGAAUUGGAUGUUCUCGAAUGUGAAUGCAAAACGGAUAGUUCAAAUUUGAAUACUUUGCGGAUUUUUGCAUAAUAUUAAUCGAAGAGAAUUUGUUAAAUUUAGCCGAGACAUAAAUUUUUCUAAAUUCAAAUACUUUGCAGAUUUUCGAAUGCAAAUUUUUUCAUACGAUCUCGGUUGAAUACAAACUUUAUAUCAAAGUUGUAUAUUUAGAUUAUAUAUAAAACUUUGUAGUUGACCUCCUUUUCAUUUAAAAUUUUUUAAUAGCUCAAAACAUUAUUCUAAGCUUUCUAAUUUCAAAAUCUUGAAUUUUAAAUUUUUCAAACGACCUCGGAUGCAAACAAGCUCUAUAUCAAAGUGCUUAAUGAGAUAUAAAAUUUUGUAGUUGACAAGUUUUUUAGUUGAAAACAUUUAGUUAUCACAAACAUACAAGUUCUUCAUUUGAUGUCGAGGAUUGGAAGUGUUGAGUUUGAAGAAUAUAUUCUUUGAUUACAAACUUUUCCAUAUGAUCUUGGAUGAAUACGAACUUUAUUUCAAAGUUGCAAAUUUAGAUUAGACCAAAAACAGUAUAGUUUACAAUUUUUUCAUUCAAAAUUAUUUAGUAGCUCAAAAUGUUAUUCUAAACUCUCUAAUUUUGAAAUCUUGAAUUUUAAAAUUUUCAAAUGACCUCGGAUGCAAACAAGCUCUAUAUCGAAGUGGUAGUUCUUAAUGAGAUAUAAAAUUUUGUAGUUCCAUCUGAGAUCAUUUAACAGUCACAAAUAUACAAGUUUUUCAUAUGAUGCUAAGGAUCAGAAAGAUUAAGUUUGAAGGCUGUAUUUUUUUAAUACAAAUUUUUGCAUACGAUCUCGGAUGAAUACAAACUUUAUAUCAAAAUUGUAGAGCUCGAUGAGAAUUUAAACUUUGUAGUUGAUAUAUUUUUCAUUCGAGAAUGUUUAGUGGUCCAAACAUGUAUUAUAAGUUCAGAGAAGAAACACACAAUCGGCCACGUCAUCAAUUGACAACUUCCAAACUGAGCAUUCCUAUUGGUUCACACCUUUCCCUUUCAACUCGUCAAGCUUAUCUCCUCCCACUCCUCCAUCGUUCACUCCCCCUUCCCCUUCCUCUCUCCCUCCCUCCCUCCGCUCCAGCAGUGGCAGCCCGACCUGCCUCCUAGGACGGUGGUGUGCGGGGCUCGGGCAUCCCUGGCCUCUAGUGGCGUGGCAGGGCGGCCUCCAGCAGCGAUGGCGGAACUCGGCCUCCGGUGGCGCACAGGCAGCGCAGCCUACCUGGUCAAAGGCGGCGCAACAGGGCGACCUCCCCAGCCUCCGGCGGCGCGCAGGGCAUCCAUGACCUCCCCGGCCUCCCUUGCCAGAGGUGGUGCGCGGGGCUGCGCCGACCUCCCCAACCAGAGGUGGCAAGGCCCCAGCUUACGGCGGCGCGUGGCUCCCCAGCUAGGGUGUGGUGGGGCGGCGGCAAGUCAGGCGUGGCCGCGUGGGGGUGGGGGGAGGGGGUUGGGCUGGGCGGAUUCAGAUAGUAUCCAUUUAACCAUCCGAAAUGUGGAUAUCCGUUUAACAAUCCGUUUAGCAAAACCGAAUUUGGAUACUUCCACUUAAGUAUCCAACUAGGAUUCGAAUGCGGAUGGUCCUACCAUAUUGUUAUUUCAGCGGAUACGAAUAUGGGAUAAUUCGAAUAACGACUUACCCAUCCCUGAUUAUAUCCGUGUAAAUAAAUAAUUGCGGCAGCAGGUUCCCGUCGCCACGCCCCCGUCAAACCAAACAAUUGCUUGCGCGACACCGUGUUACUAGAUCUUGUACAGUACUCCCUCCGUUGCAGUACUCCCUAAUGAAAGUUGAGAAUCGAUCGACAACCACGGCUAGUUGCUAUGCACUCGAUCAGAUGGUCCAGGCGCCCGCUGGUAAUCAGGUCGUGGUUCACGCGCAUCAGGCCAGCUAUGACGUUGCCAGCAGUGCUCAGUACACAAAUCUAGCUAUCAGUCGGAUCCAAUUGGGCAGGCAUUUGCACUGUGGUUGUGUUUGAACCUGUAGAUGUCGUUGUCAUUAUCAGGCACCAUACAUCCUCUCUCAGAGGGUGUUUCACCCCCUAAACUUUAGCCCCUCUCACAUCGAAUGUUUUAGAUACUAAUUAGGAAUAUUAAACAUAGAAAAUUUACUAAACCCAUUACAUGGAUGGAGGGUAAACGGCGAGACAAAUCUAUUAAAUCUAAUUAGUCCAUGAUUUGACAAUGUGCUGCUAUAGUAACUAUUUGCUAAUGAUGGAUUAAUUAGACUUAAUAGAUUUUUCUUGCUGUUUAGCCUCCGUCUGUGCAAUUAGUUUUAUAAUUAAUUCAUAUUUAGUCCUCCUAAUUAGUCUCCGAAUAUUUGAUGUGACACGGACUAAACUUUAGAUAGCACACCAGGGACCGACACCAUGCAUGCUGAUUUCAUAUCAUAAUUAAGGAAAGUGAUAUCAUAAUUAAGGAAAGUGGUAGCAUCCAAGAAAUCGAUCAUGUUUCUUCCCCCUUUGGCUUUCCUACUAGGAUUUGGAUAGCGGGCCUUCCUACUAGGAUUUGGAAUCCGCUAUCGCAUGACUAUCUUAAUUAUGUCCCAUAGUCCAAAACUCACAAAACAUCAAAAAUCCAUCGAGAAUAAAUUAAGUAAAAAACAUGCGCACACAGAUAAUAAUAAUAAUAAUCAUGUUUCAAUAAAAUUGCUAAGAUUAGAGAUAGUACAUAAACAUAUUAGAUUGUUCGUGACACAUAUCAUGGUGGAUAGUGUCUGUGUCCUUAUUACAAGCAGCGAUAGAUGCUUGUCACCACACACACGCACGCACAGAUGCACGACAUACAUAUAGUUGAGACCAACGGAUGGACGUCCCAUAGGGUGAAUAAUUUAUUGGAGAUAAAUAUUAACAUAACUUGGCCAUAGCUUGAAGCAUAGCAACAUAUGCUUAUGAAUGGCAUUCAUGCGGGUAGCAAUGCUAUCAUAUGCUUUUAGGCUUGUCCUUAGCUUCUUCCAUCUUAUAGCAAACACUGCCAUUUCUUCCAUCUUAGCAGCAACUGUCAAAUUAAUUGAGAUAUGGAAAUCCCAUUAGCGCAUGAGUUAAUUUUGCAGUGGAAAUAGAGUAGAAGAUGUCUUCAUAAUGUAAGUAAUAUGACUCUGACAUAGGGAGUGAAGUCAACAAAUUACAUUAACGGAAAUGCAUGGAAGGCCACGCAUAUGUAUUAGUCCGAUAUGCUACAAAGCUUGUAUGUACAUAUAAUAAAUUAAAUGCAUUGAAUAGAGUGAUUUUAGUGAAUUUACCUAAAUCGGAUUAAAAAACAUGGGAAACAACAAGUGUUCUUGUAGGGCUUUGUUUAGUUCCCAAAUUGGGAGUAGCAAAGUUUGCAUUUUACCAUAAAUGCGCAACUAUAGCAUGUAGCAUUUUGUUUGUAUUUGUGAAUUAUUAUCCAAACAUUGACUAAUUAGGCUCAAAAGAUUCAUCUCGCAAAGUACAACAAAACUGUGCAAUUAGUUUUUGAUUUCGUCUACAUUUAGUACUCCGUGCAUGUACCGCAAGUUUGAUGUGAUGGGGAAUCUUGCUUUUCAAUAGUGACAAAGUUGGGAUUUCGGGGGGAAGGCCUGUGUCGGAGCCACAUGCAAGAAUGGCUGACAUUGAGGCUCAGACAAAGCCCAAUGGCAACUGCUGACAUGCGAUUAAAUUUAGAUAUCCACAUCCAGCCAUUCACAUUUAUGAGAUAUGGACACGGUGCAAAUGGGUGGGGUCCUGAUAUGGAGGUGCGAAUGGCUGUCUACUUGUAUAGUGUAGCUCCAAUGUACGUAUAUGUAUCUUAUGCAUGUAUACAGUUGCACAAACUCUGAACCAACUCUUCAUAACAGGUCUUUGUUACCAAGUAACUUUACUUUUGCACGUUUCAGCCGAGAGGUAGAAGAGAAUAUUUUUGCAUUUUCCAUGUGCGUCAGUGGUAGAGAACUAGGAAUUAGUUCCGGAUGGUAGGGCACAAAUCUUCCAAACAACUAUCCGAAAUUAAGCAAUCGAGAUAAAGGGUGCCAUCUAUUCUCUCCGAAAAACACAGGUACCAAAAAGAAGAAGAGAAGAGGGAGGGCCUCCCGUUAAGGCCCGCUCGGGGUCUCCAUCCCACCACGCGCCCUCCCAACCCAAAGCCCAUCGUUUUCCCUCCGUCCCUCCCCUCUCCAUUGCCGCCGCCGCUCCCCUCAUCCGAGCUCGAUACGGGUGGUCGGCGGCCCCUCCUCUCCGCUCCCGCCCCCGGCCUCCCUUUGACCGCCGGGCGCCGGCAUCACUGCCGCGGCCAACCCCAGGGCGCAGCGCGUGCCUCUAUUUCUCUCCCCCGUUCAAGGGCCCUUUGAUGGCGACGAGCACCCACCCACCAGGUAUGCCCUCCCCUUCUCUUCCUAACCCUAAUAUAUUCGGAUCUCACCCAGUCACAAUAUAUUACCUAAUAGCUUCGAUUUUGUUUGCAAAAAUCAUCACGUGCGCACCCAUGUCCGCUAGAUUCUUGCGCCUGAUCCUGUGCUGCUAUGGUUUGGGCGGGGUAGACUAGUUGAUUCGUGCACUUUUGGGUGCUUGUAGUGCUAGGUUUUGGAGGGGGAUAGCCCAGUUGAUUCCUCCGUUUUGGGUGCUCAUGGUGAUAGGAUUUGGAUGGGGAUAGCCCCAAUGAUUCGUGCGCCUUUGGGUGCUGGGGAUAGUUUUGGGUGCCUGGAUAGUCCAGUUUCAAUGUCAGUAUAUGCGUAUUUUGGGGAGAAUUUUGUUUUGGGUGGUUCUGGUGCUAGAGUUUCUGAUGCUUAGUAGCCCAGUUUCAAUCAAAUUCCCCCAUGGGUCGUGCACUACGGGAAACAAGAAAAUUGCCGAGUGUAUUUUUUUUGUCGAGUGUUUUUUUUCGAGCACUCAGCAAACAAGCUCUUCGCCGAGUGCCAAGUCAAAAACACUCGGCAAAAAAAAACACUCGGCAAAUCGGGGCUUUGCCGAGUGUCAAAUAAAAAACACUCGGCAAAGAAGGGGGUUUGCCGAGUGUUAAAAAAAACACUCGGCAAACAGGAGGGUUUGCCUAGUGUUUUUUUGACACUCGGCAAAAAAAUAAUUGUUUUUCCUCUUUUCACCUUGAAAUUUUUUCUACUCCCCACAUACAACACGUGGUACUCCAUGUUAAAAUUUGGUAUAUUUUUGGAUUUAUUUGCUAUAUUUAUUUAAUUAAUUGCAUUACAAGGAAAUUUUUGGUAUAAGUCAAAUUUGAACUGCAAGUGAUUCAAAUUGUGGAACAAAAUGAGUAGAAAAAUGAUAUUCAUGUUAUUUGGCUCAAUUUGAGACCUGACCCAUGAAAUGAAAAGAAAUUUCGAACAUCUUGUUCAGGAAACACGACAAUGAACAUGUGGCGGUAGUAUUUUUAAAUUGUAAAAAAAACAAGCAAAGUCUGAAAAUCAUGAGAUUUGUAGUUAUGUGAUGAUAUAAUACGUGGAAGCUGUGGAAAAAAAUUGGAAAGGUUUUGCACAUUUCAUCAUGUACGAUGAUUACAAACCGAAGCAUAUCAGAAGAAGAAUAGUAACUUUGAGAAGGAUUCGAUAAAAUUUAGAGUCGAAGUGACGGUCGAGUUCGGUUUGACUACAAAACUUUUUGUAUAGUCAGUAGAGAACAUAUCUUAUUUCGUGUGAAAAUUUGGUAUUUUUUGAAACUGUUGGAUAUUUUUAAUUUUUUUUUAAAAAAACUUUGCCGAGUGUCCUAGGGUAGACACUCGGCAAAGAAAAACUUUACCGAGUGCCCGCCUAGGACACUCAGCGAACCUUUUUUUAAACCUACCGGCUCCGGCCGGCCCAGCCCACAAACACCACCCGCCCCCCGCCCCCGCGCCUUCUUCCUCACGCCGCCCCCGCCCCCCACCCGUGCCUCCGGACCGCCCCCUCCUCCCCCUGGCCUCCCCUCACGCCGCCCCCCUCCUCCCCUAGCUCCCUCCACCGGCGGCCCUCCCUCCCCCGGCGCACAUCCUCCACUCCUCCUCCCCUUCCCUUCCCUCCCCUCCCCUCCCCUCUUCCUCCCCUGGCCGGAUCUGGCGCCCCUAGCUCCCCUUUCUUCCGCGGCCAGAUCUGGCGCCCUCCCGGCGGCGGGUCGUGGCGAUCGGGGCGGCGGCGGCGGAUCAGGCCGCGGGGCGGCGGCGGCGGCGGGUCGUGGCUACCGGGGCGGCGCCCUGCCCCUCCCCUCCCUCUCCAUCUCCGGCUGCCGUCCACCCCCUCCCCGGAUCCGCCCCCCUCCCCUCCGCGCGGCCAGCCCCUCCUCCCUCUCCGGCCGCCGCCCCGGCCCCUCCUCUCCCUUUCUCCGGCCACCGCCCCGCCCAUCUUCUCUGGAUCCGGCCGGAUCCGGCCGCCGCACAGCCCCUCCUCCCCGGAUCCGGUGGGCGCGGACUUCGUGGUGGUGGCGCCGGAUCCCUCCCCUCCCUCUCCAGAUAACUCCCUCCACUCCUCCGCUCUUCCCCUCUCUCGCGCGGCGGCCUCUCUCCGGCCGCCGCCCCGCCCCUCUCCCCGGAUCCGGGGGGGGGGGGACUCCGCCCCUCUGCCCCGGAUCCAGCUCCCCGACCCGCGAGUGGGGCGAGCUUGCUCAUGCGGUCGACGUCGAGGCCAGGGUGUGGUGGAGGUGGUGGCCGGCGGGUGUGGUGGUGGUGGCGGCGGCGGGCAUGGCGGCGCGGAGGCAAGGCACGGCGGCCGGUGGGAGGCACGGGUGCAAGGCGUCGACGGCAGGAGGCAAGGCACGGCAGCAUGGGAGGUGGUGCUGUGGUGGUGGUGCUGGCGGUGGUGGCGGCGGCGGAGCAGGAUGUGGUGGUGGCGGAGGAUGUUUUUUUUUCAAAAAUUUGUUGCCGAGUGUUUUCUCGGCACUCGGCAAAGACUUUACCGAGUGCCCGACACAAAACACUCGGCAACUCAGUGUUUGCCGACUGAAAAAUUGCCGUGUGCCGUUUGCCGAGUGUUACACUCGGCAAACGGUUCGCCGAGGGUUUUUUGCCCUUCGCCGAGUGCCCCUAGCACUCGGCAAUUUCACUAUCUCCCGUAGUGGUGGCUGGACUUAUGGGGGGAUCAUUGAUGGGGGACUAGUUGGAUACUUUUUGGCUGUUUUGGGAGUCCUUGGCAGCGGCUUCUCAGGGCGUACGUAGCCCAUUGUAGAUUCCAGCCGAGAAGAUUAAGGAAUUGUGACUGCAACCAUGUUACUUUUCUAGGACUCUGUUUCUGAUAUUGUUCCCGCUGCAUCUUUUCAUCCCCAUGGUGAAUGUUGCUGUUGAUCUGUAGAUUGGAUUUGUUCCUCGGUAGCUUUAUUAGAUUUGUGCUGAAUGAUAAUCUCUGCCUGUGAUAUUUUUCUUCAUUGCGGAUGUGUGCCGAGUAUUAUCCCCUUUGUUCAUUCUGUUGGCUUUUUUUAUUGUCUCUGUACUCGGCUGUUCAGCUUGUGCAGCUAAUGAUCUAAUGUAUUUUGUCGUAACUAUGUAUUUUUCGGAUGUGUGCCGAGUAUUAUCCCCUUUGUUUAUUCUGUUGGCUUGCUUUCAUUGAUCUUAAGAUAACUGGUGCUAUAAAUUCACACUAGCUGAUGCACUUGCAAAUAGCUAUGUAAAUAUGAAAAGAAGUAUUUUUUUAUCCUUUUGUUUGUUUGGCAUCAUAUCUGUUUAAAUGGCAUAGCAAUAAGAAUUUUUUGUUUUUGGGGAAUCAUAUCUGCUUAAAUGGUAUAGAAAAUGCUGAGUGCACUGUCAAAUAGAUUUUCCAGCAGUCUGCUUUCAGUUGUUUUUGCAAAUCCUCACAGGCCAGUGAACUGACUUUGUUUUUACCACCCCAUGCCAUUUAAAUGACUAAAUCAGUCAGCCUAAUACUAUAUAUGGUCAUGCUAUGAUCUUAUUUCUUGAAGCUCUAUAGGUCAACCCAUAAGGGUAACUUAGUUUUUCCUAUUCUGGCUGGGGAAGUGGAUACGAUGGCUAUCCUUGGUAGAGUUAAAUACAUUGGCGGCUCUUAGCGCGCCAAUGUGGCACCACAAUAUCGAACAUAUGUAGAAACCCCCUUGUUUUUUCUCAUAUCCCUCUCUCUCAGCGUCCUCUUCUCUUCUUCUCCUCUGUCUCCUCCCCUCCCAUCGCGUGCUUUAUUGCGCCGCCGCCAUCCGCCUCCAUGUAUGAACACGUCGUUUGUCAUGAAGAAGCAGUUGAUGAGGCAAUCAAGCAUGUGGUGCACAAGGUUCUUCUGCUGGCCAAGUCCGAGUCGAACAGCCGCGCAUUCAUUGGGGAAGCACGCGCCAGGCAUCACCAGGCUCCUCGUGCCCCUACUCUGCUCCAAGGACUCGGUGCUUCGACGCGCUGCUUUCCCUGUCCGGCGAGCGGGGAUCGUUGGGAGAUGAUCGAUGGAGGAUGGAGCUGAUCCUCCUGUACACGGUGCCGGUGGGGAGCAGGGAGCUGCGGAGCAGGUCCACGGGCGGCGCCAUUACAGCAGGUGCAGGCUAAGGGUAAUGAGCAGAUCGAGGCGAUGGAGGAGGACCCGCACGAGGUGCAGCUUCUUCGCCUCCUGCGCAAAGUCAGCGCCCAAGCAGCCGCUGAGGGACAGGCCGAGGCUUAGCUCGAUCUCAUCCGACUAAAUGGUGGCUGCACUCCCACAGUCCCACUGGUGCUCCUCCCUUCUGUCCGAACCUGCCGAGGAAAUCCCUCGAUGCCAUGGGUCCCGGCUGGACGACUACUCCUCCCACAGAUUGACUGAGGAAGAAGAGCUUCUCAGUGUCCAAAAAUUCAGUUACACUGGAAACAGCAACCAAUUACGUUCUUCCGGCUCAGCCAAGCCCCAAUCUCCUUGCUUCUGUGCGCCCCUGCUAAAUAUUCCAGAAACCAAUCUGGUUAGUUGUUUUUUCACAUUUUCAGUGCAUGCCGGUGCUGCUGUGUGCGGCAUGCAUGGAGUUGUCGUGGGAGUGCACGGUGGCUUAGCUGGUGCGCCAGUGCGCGGGCACGAACACAACGGUGAAGAUGGCAGGGCCAUCUCAAAGCUCCUGAGCACCUGCACGCGUCGCUGAGCAGGACAUGCUGCGACGGUGGGCGAGCGCUGCUAACGCCCUGGGGAAGAGCAGUGGGUGCAGAGAGAGGGAGCGAGGGAGAGGGGUUCUUGUAUAUGUUUGCUAGCGUGGCACCGUUUACGGUGCCCGCCUAAGUGGCAUUCACGUGUCAUUCAUCCCAAAUGGUGUUGCAAGGUUGAACCUAUUGUGGGAGGCUUUUGGUUUCCCUUGACAGUAUCACCAGUGAUAUCACUGCGUUCUGGUUAUGUAUGAAACACUUGUCCUUUUAAAACCUUUCUGAAUUUAGAAACGAAUUUGAAACAUUACCCUCAUUUCCAUGUUUUUCUAUCUUUUGUCCCUGUAAAAUCAAACUAAAUUUGAAUUAUUAUGUUCAGAACUACAAGCUGAUUUACUUGUCCCAUUUGCUAAUAACAGGGCCUUGUGAUUUCUAAUGAACAUUGCAGAGCAUGUUAUAAAGCGUAUGCAUGAACACCAAGGGGAUGAAACCAUUGGUAUAUUUCUCACAACCUUUUGAACUUAUCAUUUAGCAUAUUUGUGUUCUAGUGUGACGUUUCAGCCACGAGACAUGAGAAAUGUUAGCUAUGGAUUUUGGUUAUUCAUCAUGGGUUCACAGAUUUGUUUUUCUCUAAAAGAAUUGGGAAGUAGCUUUCUUUCUGGGUAUAUGUGGGGAAAUGCAUAUGCAAUCUUUUAUUUAUUGAGGUGACUGUAAAAUUCUUGUCUGACUGAAUAUGCGAUUUCAACCUACAUGCUAUACUUAGGGAAAUUUGUGAAUCUCCUAAUGUCUGCUGCAUGGCAUGAAUGCAUAUUUUACUGGUCCAUAAUGUGAAGUUCUGUAUAUAAACUUCUCGUGUUGACCCUUUAGAACAUGCUAACUGGAGAGUUUUCUAGAGUAGUUAAACAAGAGAUUUAGUUAAAUCUGCACACAUAGGUGGGGCCUGGCAUACCCUAAGAAUCGGCCUAGCCGGUCAGCCCAUUAGUAAAAAAAAAAGCACCGCAGUCAGCAGUCCCCACGUUGGUCUUCCUCGAGUCGCGACUCGCGAAGCUCCCAUCCUCCGAGUCCAAGAUGGUGGACUGUGUCGAGCGCGGGGCGGGCGAUUAGUUGCCCGGCCGCCGGCGGGGGAUGGCCGGACGGCCAGAUCGCCGACUCCUCUAGUCCUCCCUCCAGCCUCUGCGCUUCUUUCACAGUGGAGCUAGCGGCGAGGCGCCCGACCGACACCCUUCUUCCCAAAUCCCGGCAGCCCUACCUCGAUUUGGCCUCCUCCGAUCAUUUGAUAAUCAAUUUGAUGAAAUUAAUAUGGAGUUGCUUUCUUGUAUGGUUGCCUUCAAUCCUGCUAAUUCAUUUGCUUCAUUUGAUGCACAAAAGAUACAUAGACUUGCUAUAUUUUUAUCCACAAGACAUCACAAGCACGGAUUUGCUAAAACUUGAAUUCCAGCUCGAUAUUAUAUUGAUGAUGUGAGAUAGGAUGAUAGUUUCAAAGGCCUACAAGAUCUUGUUAACUGAGACUCAGUUAAGCUUGUUGAAACAAACAGGCAUAAUAUUUAUGACUUGGUUUACUUGCUUCUCAAAUUGGUAUUGGUUCUUCUUGUGGCGACAGCUAGUGUUGAAAGGGAUUUUUGUGCAAUGACUUUGAUCAAGAGUAAGCUAAGAAAUAAGAUGGGUGAUAGUCUUUUGGAUGAUUGUCUUAUCACAUUCAUUGAGAAAGAUAUUUUCUUUGAAGUGGAUGAAGAAGAUAUAAUUAAGACUUCAUAUCCAUUAGAAAUCGUAGGCUGGAGAAGAAGUAAUAUUUUAAUUUUCUUUGAACGUUAGGUCUGUAAGCUUCUUUUAAACUAUCUACAUUAUAAUUUAUGGACCUUUUAAUUUAACCGUUGAAUUCAUGAUAUUAUGAGAUUUUUUUAUCUAUGUUAUUAUUGUUUACCGAUUUAUUACCAAAUUAUUAGUUUGAUCUUACAAUAUUGUAUUUUGGAUGAUUGGCUCGGCAUACUCUAAGUUUAAAUCCUAGCUCCGCCACUGUUUGCACAUUAAUGUGGCUUAUAUGUGUGGAGUCACUUAACCUAUGCACUUGGACCUCCACUCCCUUAGGUUUUAUGAACCUAAUUUGACAGCCUGCUCGUCUUUUAUUUUCUACCAAUCAGCUAGGAACGAACAUGGUGAUGUUUGCAUCUCUGCCAUCAAUGGCUUACAUGUCAUUAUGUAUCACAUUAGCAAGUCUUGUUUUGUUAUUGGCUGGGAUGACGGGGACUCUAGCUGGAAUUGAAUCAAAGUGGUAGAUCACAGGGUAUUCAUUGCCAUGUAUUUCUGCAGUUGCAUGGACUUGCAUCAAACGGACCUUCCUACUUAUGUGAUUGUCCUAUAUGAUCUCCUUUGAUUUCAUUUGCACACUGUAAUCACAUUAGCUAGAACACUCGCUUUUUGCUUCAAAUUUGAAAUUCAUAUCAUGAUGGACUAGAACGCUGAAUUUCUUGAUUGCUGAGUUACUAAUCACAUUGUGGCGCUGCCAAAGAAGCUGGACUCUUCAUUGUUGUUGCCUUGUGGGCUGCCGUGUGCAAAGAACAAGAGCGCACGGUAUUAUAAUAGCAGAGCAGAACACAGACAAGCGACAAGGAGCGGAGCAGAGCAGAGCACAGCCAGGCACAAGCAGUAGAGUAGAGCAGAGCAACCGGGAGAGGAGAGGGCACAUAUGCAGAGUAGAGCAGAGCCAAGCGCAAGCAUUCAUGCACUCAAGCAUGCAGCAGAGGUGUAGCAAGGCAAGCACAAGCAGCAGAGCAGAGGGAAGGGAAGGCUGGGAGAUGAAUAGGCGAAUAGUUACCUGGACAGAGCAGAGGGAAUGGAGAUGAUGCAGAUGCUUCCGGAGACUCGAGAUUUGGAGAGGAACAAGGCCACGUUGUGAACAAGGUCUCCUUUCUCUUCUCUAUUUCCCGCGCAAGUACUUGUGCAUAGUGGCUGCCUCAUCCUCCAGGACGUCCACUUCAACCUGAGGCGGGUGCCACAGACAUCCUGGCUAUGCGACGGCUACCCCCAGCACACCCCCGGCGCCUAUGAACCAUGAUCCUAAUACUAUAAAUUGUCAACCUUGUAAUCUUAUUUCAAGCAUGCUCUCUAUGUCAACCUGUAAGGUUAACUUCGUUUUUCCUUUUCUGGGUAGGGGAGUGGAUAUUGCUGUUAUUUAUAUUAUGUUGAUAUUGGUUUCCACAUGUCAUUCACCCCAAAUGUGUUGCAAGGUUGAACCUAUCAUCGGAGGAAUUUUUUUCCCUUUACCUUUAUAUCACUACGCUCUGGUUAUGUAUGAAACACUUGUCUUCUUAAAAACCUUAAUUUAGAAACAAAUUUGAAACACUAUCUUCAUUUACAUCCUGUAUGUGUUUUCUACCUUUUGUCCUAUAUGAUCUGCUUUGAUUUGAUUUGUGCAUAGUUUUUUCAAUUCAGACCUGGUGAUUUCUGAGGUUCAUGUUGUGCUGAUAAGCAGCCUACUAUUCAGUAACACUUUCAUGUGGCAUGUUCAUGUUAGCUAGCUAGAAACACUGCUUUUAGCUUCAAAAUUCAAAUUCAUGACAUGAUGGACAUUGACAAUGAAUUUCUUGAUUGCCGAGCUAUGUACACUGUAAUUCAGACCUGGUGCUUUUAGUUUUUUUCUUGAUUGCCGAGCUAGAAACACUGUGCUUUUAGUUUUUUCAAUUCAGACCUGGUGAUUUCGGUUUUUUCAAUUCAGACCUGGUGAUUUCUGAGGUUCACGUGUCACACCGAUUUUAAGAACAAAAUCGAGUGCAUUAAAUAUACAUGUACGCUAGGAUCAGGUUACACACAUGUACGACAUAAGCGAAUAUCAAAGACAAUGCCAUAACGAAAUAAAGAGAGUAUUAAUCAUUAUUACAUGACCGAAAGUCUCAAAUAAACCACAAAAUCUAUUUAUUACAUAGCGGAACUUCUAAGAUAGCAACGUCUCCACAGGCAGCUGACUGAAGAACUGUAUGCCUAGAACUCUUCAAAAUCGUGCAGGUACUCCUCCAGAUUAGCUUGGUAUGAACAACGGUUUUGCAAGGGUGAGUACACUUAUGGUUGGUACUUAAUAAGUCGUGGGAAACAAUGUAGUGUAAGGCAAAUCAAGGUAUGGCUAAGGCUUAAACAGCAUCAGCUUUUAAUUUAGUUGGUCAAAUUUUAUUAGCAAUUAAUUAGACGUAAAUUUAUACCACCCGAAAUUAAACAAGAACAUGAAUAAAAUAAUAACAUAACCAUAAAUGAAAUGACAACAAUUUAAAUCCAUCUUUUCAUAGCAUUAUCAUGUGAGGGUCCAGUCCGUUCUUAACCGUGAGCACCGCUGAUCGAUCAGUUUUACACUCUGCAGAGGUUGUACAUCUUUACCCACAAGUCGCGUAAAAGUUCAAAAGAAUUUUGGACCCAACCAUGCGGUAUUUGCAAGGCACCAUACCACACUUCCAAGGUGUGAUUGCAUAUGAACGCUACGAGGCCUUUACAAAGAUUCAUUAGUAAGUGGUAACCCGCUAAGGUUUCGGUAUUUGGCGUGCACAACCUAUCACAGGCCGCUAAUGCAACGACUCAGUCCCCCCUCUUGCCUCAUCACGAGUAAGAUUACCCCAGACUAAGGUUUCUAAUUAUUCAGCCAAGAUCAGAACCAUUUAGUCUUGUGGUAGCACUGUUUUCCUGGGUGGUUCUCCAUGUUCCGAUUAAACAUAAUGGUCUUGUAUUAAUGGAAGGUAUAACAUAAAUAAUACCAAAUUAAUAAUAAUUCAGAUUAAAUCACCAUAACCAUAUUUGAGCACUAAGCAUGAGCUACCCAACAUAAAUUUAACCCGGUUGGUCAAGGCAAGGUAGAUAAAGUCUAGGAAAUUCUUAAUUGGGACCCAUCAAGUUUAAAUUAUACUUUGCAUGGUAUGUUGCAUAGAACAUGAAAGUAAAUGUGAAUAGGACUGAAAAGGAGUGAUUAGGGACACGACUUGCCUUUUUAACCUUGUUCUUGCUGUUCGUACUCUUCGAAAACUUUGAUCUUCAAAUCCCUUGAACUGCUGACCGUCUACACGCGUCACACGACCACAUACAAGCAAACAAAUAUAAUACAUAAGAAAACAGUACACCAAUCAUAAUUAAAUAGAAGAAACAAAUUUGAAAAGCUAUUCUACGCAUUAAAACGAAAACACGGAUACAAGGAACGUUAAAAACGGAGCUACAGUGCAAAAACUACGCUUAAAACAAGAUGCAGGGGUAUAACUACGAGAAACCAAACUUCCAGGGAUUUAAUUUUAAAUAAUUUUGAACUGCAGAAGGGGCAGCAGGGCAAAACGUAGAAAAUGCAGGGGCUUAAGCGCAAAAGCAUGGCUGCUGACUCAGCUGACUUGAUGUGGAUCGUCGGAUGGCGAUCCGGCGGCCGGCAGCUGCUGCGCUGACGUCAGCGACGGCGAGCGCCGGCGAAAAACGGCAGUUCGCCGGAAUCGCCCGGGAACGCGCGACUGGGUGCAGAUUUGAGCGAGGAUUAGACUAGCAGAUAGAAACGAGCGCAGUGAACUCAUUUGGGAUGCCUACGGCGAGGACUUGGCGACGGCAUCGGCUCCGGCGAGAACUUGCGGCAGGGAAACCAAAUAAAAUAAAAUAACACGGUUCAGAGAAGCGGCGCUGGAGGAACGCGAGCGAUUUUGCGUGCGAGCGGAAGAAAACACUGCGAGGAAGAUGACUGCGGGCCCUGCUUGUCUGCGGCAGGAGGAGAGCUGCGUGCGAGAAGAACCUGGCCACGAUCUGGGCCGUUGCCUUCGAUCUGGGCCGAGGCAAGCUAGCUGGCCCGCUGCUGCGGAAAGGUGCUGGGCCACGGGCGGAGCACAGCGUCGGGCCAGAAAGGAGAUGGCUGCUGCGAGGAAACAAAAGAAAAUGAACUGGGCUGCGACAGAGGAAAACUGGGCGUCGGCCAGAAAGAAGCUGCGUGCAGCUUGCUCUUGUUUCCGAACUAGAAACAGGAACUGACGGAAAGACAGAAAUCAAUUGGAGACUGAAACUGACGCCCCAGACUCUGAACUUCGAAAAAACAGGACAACCAGCCAACUGACAGAAAAAAAAAAGCUUAACAACCCAAAAGCAGUACACAACCACGAAACCAGGCCACAAGACUGAAAAAGCUUGAUAGGAACAUCUGGCGACUGAACCAAAAAACUACAGAACUGCAACUGAAGAACUAGAGAACAGAUAAAUAACUGAUUGAACUCUGAAACUGAAACACCAAAGAGCAGGAAGCUGACUGACGGAAAAUGCAAAACAGCAACCCAAGGUGAAACACAAAUUCUUCUUCAAGCAUUCAAACAAAGAGAUAUGCAACAGCAUGAAUGCUCAAUAAAAUCCUAUAUUUCAUUAAUUAAUUAGAAAAAAUGCUCAAAUGCCUAGAAAAAUGCAAAAGUGACCUUAUAUGCCUUAAACAAGCAAAUUCGUUUCUAGCGAUUUUUGGUAAAAUGCAAAAUUAGAGAUUUUGGGUGUUACAUCAUGUUGUGCUGAUAAGCAGCCUACUAUUCAGUAACACUUUCAUGUGGCAUGUUCAUGUUAGCUAGCUAGAAACACUGUGCUUUUAGCUUCAAAAUUAAAUUCAUGACAUGAUGGACAUUGACAAUGAAUUUCUUGAUUGCCGAGCUAUGUACACUGUAAUCACAUUGUGGGGCUGAUAAAAUAAGCAGCGUUGAGACACAUAACAAUUGAAUCUUAAGCUUCACACAGAAUCUGGACCAGUCAUCCUCAUUCCUGUCAUGCUGGAAAUGUCUUUGAUACAUUUCAAUCACAGGCAAUUGAAUUCGUACUGGGGAGGAUGGCAAUGGUGCAUGAAGAGAGAUCAAUGUGGCAAAUCUCACAUUGUUCAUUACCAGGUAUCUCCGAUUUCUGGUUAUUUUAAAUUUACCUUGACAUGUGACUUAUUGAGGUAUUGUAUUUCAUCUAAUGGUAGUUCUGAAUUUAUGGUAACCUUGGAUGGGGUUUGUCACUUUAUACACGCACGGACUUACAAAGGACAGCAAAUGAGUAUAUUUAGAGGGCUCCUGUCCAACCAUGGACUAUACUUAUGUACCCUUUUUUGACAUGGUAAUUUGAGGUUAAUGGAAAAGUAGCGAUAGUCGCCUCCAGCGAAGCUACCUUCUUCGAAAGCUCCGAGGCUGCUUUCUCGCUCUUAGCAAGCCGAUCCCUCGUAAUCAUCGAAGAGUAAGAGACCUACAGAUUUUAAAAACCAAGUUACCAAAAAUAACGAAGUAAAAGACAACACUCGCAAGACAAACCACCAAACUAUCUCAUAAUUGUACCUUCUUUACGAGGUUCGCCUCCAAGUUAAAGAGCUCUUCCAAGAUCAUUGACUUCACAGCUUGCUGAAAAUCUAUGCGCCAAAGGAUAUAGUCGUAAGCAUAAAAUAAAAAUUGGUAAAAACCAAGGACAGCAAAGCCAUCUACAAGCUGUUCUUACCCUCAUACUUUCGCACCUCAACGGCGAUCGGAACAACCUUCUCUCUAGCCUCGCCCUUAGACGCCACCACAAUCUUCCCGCCACACAAAUCCACAACCCCUCCUUUACCUUUGCCCUCUCCCGAAGUCGUCGUGCCCGCCUUCUCCACCCUUUUUGAACCGCCAACAUCUGCAUAGCGCUCGCAACCUUCACCUUCAGCCCCCCAGACCAAAGACAGGUUGUGAGGAUUAUAAACCCUACCUUCGGCGCAUGUAGCUAGAAUCUCCGUGCGCCCGCUCAAGCCCAGACACUCAUUCAGUCCCUGAAGCCCCGCCGGCAACCUCUCACCUACAUCAUAACAUUCAACUUUUAGCCUCACAUGAUCCUCACAACUAACCUUACCAACGCCCCCCAUAGUUUCUUCCAAGUCCUUCAAAAAUUUCGUUGAGGCCUCACCACAAUCAAAGAACCGUAGCAUCGAUAGAAACACCUCUACAUGCUUACCAGAUCUCACAGCUUCGGCACACCCACCCUUUGGAUCAGAUGAGAACGCAUCCACAAGCUUCGCCUUUUCGGUGGCAAACCCCCUCUCAAGUUUCCCAACAUCAGUCAAGAGAUGUUGCGCGCUCUUAAACUUCGAGCUUAUGGAAGGCACCGUGAUCUUGGUACCAGCUGCCGAAGACGCGUCAACCUUGGCACCCGUAACAGUAACAGGAGCAAAUCGAGGUUUCUUGGCGCCUCUUUUGAUCCGUGCGGCGGGCCCGGUGGAUGAAGGUGCAAGAGCUGGAACCUCCUUAGGAGGGCGCAUAGAGACAGGAACAACAUAUGCCGGAUUGCUCAAGUCGCCAGACGAAGCUGUCGACCACGAUGGCAACAUAGCAGACGAAGCCCCCGCGGUCAUUUCCUUCCUUUUUUGCGCCUCCAAAUUCAAGGUCUUUUGCUUCGCCUUAGCGGUCACUUGCAAUUCAAUAGUGAGCUUCACCAUGGGUACGAAGUCAAAUUUUGCCUUUUUCCUCUGCUCAAGACUAGCACCGCGACGGCGCCUCUUGCCCGUAACUUUGGGGUGAGGCAGAACCACAAUAUCAUACAAGUCAAAAAUCUAAGAUGAUGACAUUCCAUUUGUAUCCAUGAUUUAUAUUGUGUUCCUUGAAUAUCCAUUAAAGUCUACUUGAAUUGAUUUGCAAUUAUGUGAAUUGUAUGUGAAACUCUUUCCUUGUAUGGUUAUUCUAAAGUUGUCCCUAGUCGGAGUUCAUGUGAGGACACAUGAAUAUUAGACUAGCACAUGUAUUAGUUGAUGACUAUGUUUCACAAGUCAUGGACAUGAAGAUGUGGAACUAAUAAUGUGGGCACAUGUGGAGACACGUGCUAGGACUGACCCAACACGAGAAGUAGUUCUCUCUUUAUACAACAUAUACGCUUUGUCCUUAGACCUGAGAUUGUCGCAUGUACUCAAGAUGUGGAUCGACUUACUUAGGGGCUAUCAAAUUCUACGCCGUAACAGGGUAGUUAUAAAGGUAGCUUUCGGGUUUGUCAAGAAGCAUGCUAUGAGACAUGGUCAAUCAAGAUGGGAUUUGCCCCUCUCUGAUUGAGAGUGAUAUCUCUGGGCCCCUCGAGUGAUCGGAUCCGAAAAUGCAUGGCCAUGCUACAUACGAUUAAGAGUUAGCCUACAAAAGGAUUCCGAAUCAUAGGAUCGAGAAAGAGCGGUCGGCUUGAAGCUAGACCAAAUAUCGUGAGGCAAAGGGAAUAGCAUGUAUAUAAUGUUGUGAUGGUUCGUCUGAUAUGAUCUUCGUGUGCGUAUAGGAGUUGGCACGUCUUGCUAGAGGUCGCUACCGACUAUUGGGCCGAGUAGGAGUACUCAGGCCAUGUCUAUACGUAUCCGAACCCAUAGGGUCACACACUUAAGGGGCUGGAAGCCCAAUUCGGAUGUGAUCCGAAUUGGAUUAGGUUUAGAAGUACUAAUGGGCCUUGGACCUAGAGGCCCGUUAGGAACCUCUAUAAAUAGAGGGGUGGGGGCGCCCUAGGGUUUACACCUUUUUGGUGAAACACAUCUGCCGCGCCUCCCACGCCUUCGCCUGUUGCAACUCGCGGACCUAGCAGUCCGGCUUGCGACGCUUCCUCCCUGCACGUGUGGAUACCUUGGAAGUGUUGCUCCUGCAGCACUUGGACGAGCCGCCAACGAGCCACGACGAGCCACGAUGAGCCGACGAUGAGCCGCGGCACGAGGGGGAUCUUGCUGCACGUGGACGAGCUGCUGAGGAGCUGCUGGACGUCGAUGUGUUCGACUACGUACGACUACGCUGAUCGACUUCGCUGCAUCAACGCGAAUCUACAUCUUCCGCAUCAUUGCAUCGAGUGGUAAUCCCGUGAUCCUGAUACGGCAGUUUUCCUAGUUUACGCGGUAGAAAAUUUUGUUUUGUGCUAGUGUAGCCUAACUCAUAUCCCAACAACGUGUGCUAUAGGUCACGCAAGCCUGAAAAUGGCCACACCGGACACCGGGUACGAAAACAUGGGGGAUGGACCGAACAUUUGAAAAUGGCCUCCAUAUGUGUUUUCGGCUAUGAAAAUGUGUGUUAUAGGUCACAGAAGCUUGAAAACGGCCGCACCAGCCACUAGGGACGAAAACGUGGGGGAUGGACCAAAGACAUAAAAAAUAGCCUCCAGACGCGUGUUCGGCCAUGAAAACGUGUGGUAUAGGUCCUGGAAGGCCAAAAACAGCUACACCGGCCACCUGGGACGAAAAAGUUUGUGUAAGACCGAACACUUGAAAAUAGCCUCUGGACGCGUGUUCGGCUAUGAAAAGGUGUGUUAUAGGUCACACGAGCCCCAAAACAACCACAGCGAACACCAGCUACAAAAACAUGGGGGAUGGAUCGAAUAAUUGAAAAUGGCCUCCAGACGUUUGUUCGGCCAUGAAAUCGUGCGUUAUAGGUCGCGGGAGCCCGAAAACGGCCACACCGGCCACCGGGAAUGAAAAUGUGGGGGAUGGACCGAACAAUUAAAAAUGGCCUCCGGAUGUGUGUUCGGCCAUGAAAACGUAUGUUAUAGGUCACGGGAGCAUGAAAACGGCCGCACUGGCCACUGGGGACGAAACGUGGGGGAUGGACCGAAGACGUGAAAAUAGCCUCCAGACGCAUGUUCGGCCAUGAAAAUGUGUGCUAUAGGUCAUGCAAGGCCAAAAACAGCUGCACCAGCAACCGGGGACGAAACCAUGGCUGUCAAACCGAACGCUUGAAAAUCGCCUUCGGACGCGUGUUCGGAUAUGAAAACAUGUGUUGUAGGUCACGCGUGCCCGAAAACGUCCACAACGGACACCGGGUACAAAAACGUGGGGGAUGGAUCGAAUAACUGAAAAUGACCUCCGAACGCGUGUUCGGCCAUGAAAACGUGUGUUAUAGGUUGCGGGAGCCCAAAAAUGGCCACACCGGCCACCGAGGAUCAAAACGUGGGGGAUUGACCGAACAAUUAAAAAUGGCCUCCGAUUGUAUGUUCGGCCAUGAAAACGUGUGUUAUAGGUCAUGGGGGCCCAAAAAUGGCCGCACCAGCCACCAAGGACGAAAAUAUGGGAGAUGGACCAAAGACAUGAAAAUGGCCUCCAGAUGCAUGUUUGGACAAAAGUGUGUGCUAUAUGUCGUGCAAGGCCAAAAACAGCUACACCAGCCACCGGGACAAAAACGUGGGUGUUUGACUAAACAAGUGAAAAUGGCCUCCGGAAGCAUGUACGGCUAUGAAAAUGUGUGCUAUAGGUAAUGGAAGGCUAACAAAAGCUACACCGGCCACCGGGGACAAAAUCAUGGGUGUCAGACUGAACACUUCAAAAUGGCCUCCGGACGCGUGUCCGGCUAUCAAAACGUGUGUUAUAGGUCAUGCGAGCCCGAAAACAACCACACUGAACACCGGGUACAGAAACAUGGGGGAUGGACUGAAUAACUGAAAAUGGCCUCUAGACGCGUGUUCGGUCAUGAAAACAUGUGUUGUAGGAUGCGGGAGCCCGAAAACGGCCACACCGGCCACCAGGGCAUGGACCAAACAAUUGAAAAUGGCCUCCGGAUGUGUGUUCGGCCAUGAAAACGUGUGUUAUAGGUCACGGGAGCCCAAAAAUAGCCGCACCGACCACUGGGGAUGAAAUCGUGGGGGAUGGACCGAAGAUGUGAAAAUGGCCUCCAGAUGCGUGUUCGGCCAUGAAAACGUGCGCUAUAAGUCAUGUAAGGCUAAAAAUUGCUACACCGGGACUAAAGCAUCCCCCAUGAGUUACAAUAAAAGGAUUGUAUCCUCUACUCAGUCGGAUGUACUGUGUAGGUGAGAUGGUAAGGAAGCUAUGCGCGAGGUUUGAGGUUGUGGGUUGAAAUCCUACGCACCGCGCGCACACGCGCAUAUUUUGUGUGAAAAAUCAUGUGACUUGUGAUCGGCCAAGGAGAAGUGGGUGCAGCUGUGGCUUAAGUGGCUGAGGCACGCUGCCAUAGACAUCUCCGAUUUGCUCGAAGACUACCAAGACACUAGCAAUAACAAGAACUACUGCUCUUCCUAGCAGACUCUUUACAACCACUUUAAAGCUGUGCAUUUCUCAAUGUAAUUUCGUAGAAGGCAAUCGAUCCAACCAAGCGACUAAAUCAUUUGUUCUUGCCAAUGAUGUACAUCAGGUUUUCUAUAUGAAGGACAUGUCUAGCAAACCUAAGAUUUUAGAAGAAAAAGAAAAAUUAUGGGAGUCAAUAAUAAAUCAGGCCAAUCAGGAGAUUAUAGUAAGCUCGAUGGUAUGCCUCCAUUCGAUGUCGAAGUUGGCCCAAGCAUCAUGUUAGCCAAAGAUCAAAUGUUCGUGCAUUGCUACGGUAAAGAUCAAUUGUGUCUUUUAAACCCAUGGAAUUUUUUAUCUAUGUUUUUAUUACACUUAAUGGAUGUCUACACAUUUGCUAGAAAAUCAAAAUAAUUUUGACUUAAUUAUUUCUUUCAACUCAAAUACUCAUUAAAUUUCUACCUUUUUAUUUAAGCAAGAGAGUUGCUCAAAAAAUGGAUACGUAACCAUGUUGUAUCAUACAAAGCAACCACAUUUCACAUAUAGUCUGGCUUAGCAAACACCAUUGUUGUCUUAACAUAGUGUUCAUGAGUUAGUAGACAUGGAUCUAUUUCUAAUUGCAAGUAGUGCAGCGUACAACCAGCCUGCACCGCCGCAGCUCAAUAUGCGAUAAUUUUUUAUCUUCCCAUGUAAUUUUUCUACUCUAGUACAUAUUGAACUCCACAUAAAUGUCAUGUUCUUUCACGCCACAGACGGUUUCUAAAGUUUGGAACUAAAUAGAUAGCCAAAAAUUUUAAAAAAAUAUUUAUAUGGAUACAUGUAUGUUCUUUGCAAACUAACAAUAUUGUUUACAAUAUCAAAAGGAAUAUGGCUAUGAUCAUUGCCGCAUAUGGCAGGUGAUGGUAGAUGCCGUAUGGGGUUUCUUUAACUUAAUUGUAUAAUAAGCUGAAAUACAUUUUCUAUUUGCAAAUGAAUCAUAGCUGAAAGUGGUGGGAUUGUAGAACCGCCGGCCAUCGUGUCCUUGUAGGACCGCUGCACGAGCCUGUGAGCCACCAGCCACCAUGCGCCCAAGGGCCAUCACCACGCCAUAAGAGGAUGCUGUCUACCCGGUUUCGCGCGCCUGUGCUAGCUGCCUGAACCUGGGCCGCCGCCGGUCGCCUGCCCAGCCGCGCGUUGCGCCAGGGUUUUGCUGGUGACGACCAUGGCCUUCGCGAUCAAAUUAAAAAGUUAUCAACUGCAAAGUAUUAGGUCUCGUUGAGCUCUACAAUUUUGAUAUAAAGUUUCUAUUCAUCCGAGAUCAAAUAAAAAAUUUGAUACUCAAAGCAUAAAUCCAUUAAUCUAGUCUUGCUAAUCCUUACCACCAAAUAAAAAACUAGCAUGUGUUGUGUGUUUGUGACCCUAAACGAUCACAAAUGAAUAACUUAUGGGCCUUGCUAGCGCCCGGAUGUCCAGGCCGGGGCACUAGCAUCAGACCCACGAGUAGCCGUCCGAUCAGGUUCGACACCACUUCAGGAUCUGGCUUAAAAAGAAGUCCCACCGAAACAUUGUUCCAUGUUGCAUGAAGCAACCCACUACCGUCGCCAGGUCUAGAGCAAGCACCACCUUCAAAUGUGCUGCUCACCCUAGCUAAAUAGGGGCAUUAAAAUAUUUCUCGCAUAUCCUUCUCAAAUUAAACAAAAUCGCAACAUCUGAAAAUUUUUACAGAAAACCAUGAAACAUAUCGAUUAGAUAGAUGUAACAAGAUGGAAUAUGGUAUAUGCAACAUAUAGGUUCCGAAAAGCAGAUGAAAUAUUAUGUAAUGAUUCUUGAAACAGUCAAGAAAAAUAGAUGUAACAUCUAAAAUUAAGAAAAGAAGCUUUAUGCAAAUUGCAAAAAGCUGAAACAAGUGGUUGAAACAUUUCAAAUCACCAAAUGCCACAUUUGAAAUGACCAGAUGAAACAUCACGAAAUCAAUUGCAACAGUUGAAGAUGAAAACAUUCAAAUGCCUUGCCUUUCUCCAAAUUUGACCCUCCAAGCAUGAGUCCAGCCAUUUGCACAUUAGACCCUUGGGAGGAGCUCACCGGAGAACAACAAGACCGUGUUAUCCAACAAUUUUCAGAUCAAAUUGCAACAUAAAGAACAAAGCAUUGCAACAUCUGGCAUCACGAGCUACAACAGCAACCAGUUAGGAUCAGGAGAAAGAGGGCAAACACAAGCCUAACAAUGAGUUAUAUCCGGUUUAAACAAGGAUAAAAAUGAGUGUAUUUUACACUCAUCAUGUUGUCUUUUCGCAGCUGUACCGCCUUUAGCGUGUUGUAUUGUUCCUAACACCAAGUCUCCGAGGCCCGAAAAAAUAAGGAAAGUGGUAGCAGCUCAGAAAUCGACUAAGUUUCUUUCCCCCUUUGGCUUUCCUACUAGGAUUCGGAAUCCUCUUUCGUAUGACAAUCUUAAUGAUCUCCCAUAGUCCAAAACUCACAAAAACAUCAAAAAUCCACCGAGAAUAAAUUAAGUAAAAAAACAUGCACACACAGAUAAUAAUAGUAAUCAUGUUUCAUUAUGAUUGCUAAGGUCAGACACAAUACAUAAACAUAUUAGACUGAGUGACCCACCUCACCUCAGAGUAUGCACCAUGUCUGAGUGACCCACCUCACCUUGCCAGGACACUGGUCCUGCCCUCGUGGUUCACGCGCCCUCGUGGUUCAGCAGUGGUCAGUACACAAAUCUAGCUGCCAGUCGGAUCCAAGGGCAGGCAUUUGCAUUGUGGUUGUGUUUGAACAUGGAGAUGUCAUUAUUAUUGUCAGGCACCAUACAUCCUCUCUCAGUUUCACUCCGCCUCACACACGGAUAGCACACCAGGGACCCGACACCAUGCAUGCCGAUUUCAUAUUAUUAAUAUUUAAUUUUUUUAAUGGUUGUUGAAACUAUAUUGUUGAUAUUUUUAUACAUAAUUUACGACCUAAUUUGGAUAUAUUUUUGAAAUAUUCCGAAAUCUUAAAUUCACACGUCUAGAGAUACAGUUAGUCCAAUCUGAUGUUUCCGAUUAUAAAAAUGAACAUAAAGAGAUAGGAAGCGAGAGACGUGAGGGGGAAAGUUAAAUUAGGGCCUAAGGGGUGAAGUUAGGGUUCCAGGUGAGCUGUCAUCACUACGUGUUUUUAAUCGAAAUUGGAAUGUCAGCAAUCGUCAGAUCUUGAGCCAACAGUUGAGACUGCCUCGGAAUGGUAAUUAGGUCUGCGCGAGCUUGCAUUGUGGCCUUCCUUGAAACCUUGGACAUAGGUGUUAUAUUAUUAUGUUCUUGCCAGCACACAGCAGUGAAGGACGACACAGUUGAGAUGUGCAUCACAUUUUCUAUAUGAAGGAUAUGUUUAGCAAACCUAAGAUUUUAGAAUAAAAAGAAAAAUCAUGGGAGCCAAAGCGCCACAUAGUUCUUCCAGGUAAAAAAAAAUCAUCCACUGGACCAGCACAUAGUAACGAUCCAAAAAGUCCAUAUUAAGAUUUUUUGAUAGCAGAAAAAACAUAAAAUGUCUAAUAUUUGUAGUAUUAAAAGGAAAAAUAAUAUAUUCACGUGACCUUUUUCCCGUAGCAAGGCACCGGUACGUGGUCAGACUUAAUGCACGAUGCCUAAGCAUCCAUUGGGCCUACCCUCGUGUGGAUCACGCGCAACAGGACACGGCUCACAAGCUAUGAUGUGCAGCAGUCGCUCAGAUGGCUGAAAGGUACCCUUAAUUUGAAUGGUACCAUAUAUAUAUAUAUAUAUAUAUAUAUAGUAAACAAGACAAACCACCGUUGAUACUACUUUGCACUACUUGAUACAUAUAUCUCCACCAAAAGCGAGGCACGUGGGGAGGAGAGAUAUGUGGUUGAUGGUGCGGGCACGUGGCGAGUGCACCGUACGAAAAUUUUGCUCGUGUCGGACGACUGAUGUGAAGCAUUACCCAAUCUUAAUUAUCUCCCAUAAUCCAAAACUCACAAAAACAUCAAAAAUCCGCCGAGAAUAAAUUAAGUAAACCAUGCACACACAGAUAAUAAAAUUGCUAAUAAGGCCAGAGACAAUACAUAAACAUAUUAGACUGUUCAUGACACAUAUCACGGUGGAUAGUGUCUGUGUCCUUAUUACAAGCAAUGAGAGAUGCUUGUCACCACACACACGCGCACAGAUGCACAACAUACAUAUAGUUGAGACCAACAGAUGGAUCAACUAGAGGUCACCCCAUAUGGUGAACAAUUUAUUGGAGAUAAACAUUAACAUAACUUGGCCAUAGCUUGAAGCAUAGCAACAUAUGCCUAUGAACGGCGUUCAUGCUAUCAUUUUAGGCUUGUCCGCUUCUUCCAUCUUAGCAAGCACUUCCAUUUCUACCAUCUUAGAAGCAACUGUCAAAUUGAGAUAUGGAAAUCCCAUUAGCGCAUGAGUUAAUUUUGCAGUGAAAAUAGAGUACAAGAUAUCUUCAUGAUGUAAGUAACAUGCCUGAAGUUGUGAGAUGGGAAGUGAAGUCAACAAAUUACAUUAACGGAAAUGCAUGGAAGGCCACACAUACGUAUUAGUCCAUGAUAUGCUACAAAGCUUGUAUGUACAUAUAGCAAAUUAAAUGCAUUAAUUGAAUAGAGUGAGUUUAGUGAAUUUACCAGAAUCGUCCAGAAAACAUGGGAAACAGCAAGUGUUCUUGCAGACUGCGUCGGUGCCACCCACAGCAAUACAACCAAAACAACAUGCUUUUGCCCGAGCGGCUGCGCAGCAGCCGCACUCUGCCGCGGUGGCCGAGUUAGCAUUGAGGCUCAAGAUGACCAGGCACAUGAUCACCAUCAAAGCGGUGGUAGUCCUCUUUCCCUCCAUUGCCUCCUCUUGCUGCUACCUUCCUUGGUUACCUAGCUAAGUUUAUUGGUUUUGUGUUGAGAGGUGAUUCUUGCAUUGAAUGGACGUUGCCGCGGCUGCAAUUUAUAGGCAGCUGCGCUAUGUGAUGAUAUGGACAAGGUGCAAAUGGGUGGUCCUGAUAUGGAUAAGGUGCAUGCGAAUGGCUGUCUACUUGUAUAGUGGCGCUCCAAUGUACAUACGUAUGUAUCUUAUGCAUGUAUACAGUUGAUGGAUGUACAUGUUUGUUGCACAAAUUAUUCUGAACCAACUCUUCAUAACAGGUCUUUGUUACCAAGUAAUUUUACUUUUGCACGUUUCAGCCGAGAGGCAGAAGAGAAUAUUUUACAGAGAGGGCAGAGAAGGAGGUUGGCGGAGGCGCCGUGGUAGGGUUCCCCGUGUCGCCAAGAUUUUUGCAUUUUAGAUGUGUGUAUUGAUCACUUCGUCGUGCUCGCGGGGCCCAACUCCAGGUUGUACCCCAGCAGACCACGUUCUGUUUCUCUGCCUCCAAUGAGCAUGCAUGCCUCCACAAGGACCACAAGACUUAGUAAAAAAGCUAAACUUUGCAACACGAUGUAUACAGAACGUUUUGAAAUGUACUCUCGUUAGGCAUUCACCUCCUUAACAAUCACUGCGACUGUAAAAGAGGUACAUCGACGCUAGCUAAAUAAACCACUAUAAGAUUUAGCAAGAGAUCAUUUUAUACAAUCCUGUAACGAAACAAUUUGACAAUUAUAGUGUCCAUAUAUUUUGACAAAAAAACGUUUAAAUUAUAUAAGGAGGUGGGCCCGAAAACGGUUGGAUUACAUCGAGAACGUUUUGAAACAGUUGGCGGAGCAGGAUUCUGGCGUGGAGCAUCUACAUUGUCGCGCGCGCGGACUGCCGGAGUAGGCACGCUCGACUUGUCCCAUCGCCAGCUAAAUGAUUUAGUACCGGAUGGUCUCUAGUACCGGUUGGAGCUACCGUCCACCAGGAGCUUUUCUAGUUUGGAACUGGUACUAAUGCUAAUAUUAGUAUCAGGUCAAAAACAAUCGGUACUAAGGCUAGGGAUGACACGUCAUUUUUCUAGUAGUGUGUGCAAUUGGUUUUGUAAUUAGUCUAUAUUUAAUACUUCUAAUUAGUAUCUACACAUUUUAUGUGACAGGGACUGAACUUUAGUCCGUGGAACCAAACACCCCAUAAGUAUGUUUGGUGCUGUAAGGAUUUCGGUUUUAUUUAAUUUCCUAGGCAUUUAAAUUUCUUUCUAAAAUAAGUUAAUGAAUCAUAGGAUCUCAUUGUUGUAUUCAAGCUGGUGCAUUGAUUUUGCCUAUAAAACCCGCCGCGGUCUUCGCAGCCCCCAUCAAACCCUAGCGCCCUUGCCACAAGCUCAGCACCGCUGCCGCCCGAGCUCGAGCACUAGCACCCACCCAUCGCCGUUGCCUUCCCGUCGAUGGGAUCACCGCCCGGAGCUUCGCAUCGUGGUAAGGAAGCCGCCCGUGAAGAUCCCAUGUGCUCCUAUGCCCUCUACCGCGUCCCCGAGUUCCCGGAGUUGCUAGUCUCCCACCGAGCCGACUCUCCGAGCUUCACGUCACUGGUGCCGCUCCGAAGACCUAGUUCGGUUCGCCAUGCACCUCGCUUCAUCCUGAGCUAAACCCCAUAAUGAAUGGUGGUCGGAUGCUCGCCGCCACGGCGCGUCGUCUUUUCUGUCGCCCGUGCAUUGCCUAUCCCCUUCCAGCCGAUUGCAGCUGUCCGAUCGCAAACCGGUGGCCCUGAUCGGAUACCAAGGUCAAUACCGGUCGAACCGAGCCGUGCGCUGCUUUUGCAAGAAGGCCCCUGUUUUUCUCUCUUUUUGCACCUGAGGUCCUACGCAGUUCAAAAGUAAUAAGAUCUAGGUCCUUUUUCUUUUGUUUUAGCCCGUGUUCUUUUAUAAAAUCCCGCCCACUAUUCUGUUUGGUCUUUUGACGCGUUAGACCUUCUUUUUAUAUGUUUAAUUAGGUUUUAGGUCUCGAUUUCUUUAAGUUUAGCCCUUGAAAGUUUAGUUCUCUCGCAGUUAAGCCCCUGAACCUUGUUUAGCUCAUAUCUUAAGCGUUUUAAAUCCGUUUUAACAGAUUCUUGCGCCUAUAAGUUCAUGUUGACGCAUAGAUUAGUUGACUUAUACGAACCUUGCUGAUUCAGCUCCUUGAUUGUGCUUCAGAUCUCGCUAGGGAAGAAUAAUGGAUGGGCUUUGGUUGAGCUUGUAGAUCGACUUGCAGUUGCAGUGAAUGAGCAGAGGAUUGGCAGUGAAUAAGAUCAGGCCGCUGCCCUGCUUGGUAGGGAAAAUAUCUGCUUGCUACCAAGGCCUGUGACGCAUGGACCCCAUUGAGAGUGCAUUAUUGACAAGGACUUAAAGCCAAGGGCUCCACACCUGUCAUUGAUCAGCUGUCUGCUGGGCGCUGCAAGGAGGUAGUGCAUGUUUGACAUAAAGAAGCAGGUGGCCCAGGAUUUACGAAAAAUAAGGAUCUAUUUGAUACCCUUGCUUAUAUUUAGGGGCUAAAAGUUGCUUAUUUGAAGUUGCUUAUUUUUAAUCCUAGCUGUUUGAUUGCAUGGGCUAAAGAGCAUUGAAUGAGGUGGAUAUUGUCAUGUUUGCCUCUAAUGAUUGCUUCCCAUCACAUUUCUCCCCCCUCAUUCAACGAGGGAAGGAGGUGUAAAGUGCACCUUUUAGCCCCGAUAAGUAACCCUUGUGUUGUUUACGGGCUGAACAUAAGUAGCUAAAGUUUAGCUCCAAUAAACAAGAGUGUUUGGUAUUUUUGGGGUUAAAAGGGGCUAAACUUUAGCUGCUUAUGCAUAAGCAAGGCCAUCCAAAUAGGCCCUAAGUAUGUUUGGCGUUGUAAGUAGGUUUUAUUUAAUUUCCUAGGCAUUUAAAUUUCUUUCUAAAAUAAGUUAAUGAAUCAUAGGAGUUCAUUGUUGCAUUCACGCUGGUGCAUUGAUUUUGCCUACAAAACCUGCUGCCGUUUCCGCAGCUCCCAUCAAACCCUAGCACCCCCGCCACGAGCUCCAGCGCCGCUGCCGCCCGAGCUUGAGCACUAGCGCACACCCAUCGCCGUCGCCUUCCUAUCAAUGGGAUCACCGCCCGGAGCCCGUGUCAUGGUAAAGAAGCCGCCCGUGAAGAUCCCGUCCACUCUCGUGCCCUCUACCGCGUCCUCGAGUUCACCGGAGUUGCCAGUCUGCCACCCAGCCGCCUCUCCGAGCUUCAUGUUGUCGUUGCCACUCUAGCUGCCUCUCUGAAGACCUAGAUCGGUUUGCCGUGCACCCCGCUUCAUCCUGAGUUAAACCCCAUCAUGCCACGUCAUAGUAAGGAAGCUGCUCAUGAAGAUCCCGUGCGCUCCCGUGCCCUCUACCGCGUCCCCAAGUUCACUGGAGUUGCUAGUCCACCACCGAGCCGCCUCUCCGAGCUUCACUUCACAGUCGCUGCUCCAGCCACCACUCUGAAGACCUAGAUCAGUUCGCUGUGCACCCCACCUCAUCCUGAGCUAAACCCCAUGACGAACUGUGGUCGGAUGCUCAUUUUCGAGUGAAUUCCGGCGAGAUGGUCGCCCGCCGCCGCCAUCUCCAUCGCCCAUGCACCGCCUGUCCCCUUCCAGCCGAUGUCCGAUUGCAAACCGAUAGCCGAAAUCGGAUGUGGUCACCAGGAUUAAUACCAGUCAAACUAAGCCACGCGUGCCGCUUUUGCAAGAAGGCCCCUAUUUUUCCCUCUUUUUGCACUUGAGGUCCUAUGCAGUUCAAAAGUAAUUAGAUCAAGGUCCUUUUUCUUAUGUUUUAGCCCUAUUCUUUCAUAAAAUCCCGGCUGCCAUCCUGUUUGAAAUAGAUACGGUUAUAGAUAUGCAAACAUCUGCAUAUUUCCAACCGUAUCUCUUUCGAACGGGAGACGCCUAACUAGGUUACGUGACAUACGAACAUCAUACGGAUAGAGAGGGGUAGGAUGUCUCACCUUGCUAUCCUACAAAGUGACGACUCGAGGACAGUAAUGUAGCCUCUCCUUCAAAAAAAGAACAUACUACUAUCAAGUUAAAUUUUUGACAGCACCUCCCCUGCACGUGGAGGUUUCCAUAACCUGCAUCAAAUAAAACGGCACGAUGGCUGACAACCACAUCUACAGCACCAGAAUGGCACGAUGGCCGACUUCCACAUAAAGUUCUUAUACCUUAGAUUGCCAAGUCAAACAUCCUUUUCUAAUUUCUAAAACAAAAGCCCUCCCACCUCUCUAUCUUAUACUUUCCUAUUUACUAAUUGCUUUUGUAAUUUCUAAUUUCUAUUUCAUCCUACCACCUCUGUACCCUUUUCUCAUUUCUAAUUCCAAUUUUCUAACUUGAAGAGCAAAGAUUGAUUACUAGGAGGGGUGAGGGACGCCGGCCUAGAGAGGCGAGGGGACGUCCGGCGGCGGCGGGUGCGUCGGGGGUAGGAUGCCAGGGGCGGCUGCAGGGGCGCCGGGUUGGGGGCGGCCGGGAUCGAGGGCACCAGUAGCGGGGGCACCGGGCCGGGGGCGGCCGGCGGGGCGGGACGCCAGGGCCGGGGCGACGGGCGCCGGUGGCGAGGCCGCCCGGCCGGUGGUGGCCGGCGUGGCGCCUGGGCCGGGGGGGGGGGGCGGGCGGGGUGCGGCGCGGCGCGCCGGGGCAGGGCGCCGAGGCUGGGUGGUGGGGUACGGGGCGGCGGGCGGGGGGUGGGGGGAGGGUCGGCGGCGGGGCGCGGGGGCGGCCAGCGGCGACGGCGGAGGGCGUCGGUGGUGUUUCGGAAGUGAUACGGAGGGGGUAGAGAGAUUCGUUUUCGCGGCUGAGUGUUCGAGUCAGAAGGCCGUGCGGCUUAAGUCAGGUGGUUUGCCGAGUGCGCGCGAUCUGGCACUCGGCAAAGUCAGAAGUUUUGCCGAGUGUCAGAUCGCGGGCACUCGGCAACUGCAGCUUUUGUCGAGUGCCCUGGAUUCGGCACUCGGCAAAGUGAAGUUUUAAUUUUUUUUAAAAAAAUUUAAUCGGAACACGGGCGUGCCAGCGGGCCCGUGACAUACUUUGCCGAGUGUGUAGCAAAAACACUCGGCAAAAUAUUAUCUUUACCGAGUGUUUUCGCUAGGCACUCGGCAAAGUACACUUAUAUUUCAUGUACACUUUUUCAAUAACGUGUUUUACUAACCUUUUUCUGAUAUACUUGGGAAAAACCUUAUCAAAUUCACUCAACAAUGGAUAUAUGGUUUUUCUACUGACAUUAUUCCAUUAUUUCAUUCAGUUAUAGCUCAAAUUGAAUUUAUAUCUAUUAAAAAUCAAUAAUUGCAUUUAAUAAAUAAAAAAUACCAAACGGAUCUGAAAAAUUUCCAAAAUUUGACAUGAACCAAUCUAUGUUGUAUGUUGCCUGUACAAAAAGCUUUGAAGUCAAACCCCAAUUCAAGUGUCACUUGGACUCCAAAUCUUAUCGGAUCCUUUCUAACUUCUAUGAAUCCUUUCGGGAGAUGAGUCGGUUUGUAAGCAUCAUAUGUCAUAAAUUGGGCGAAACCUUCUCAAUUUUUUACCACAGCCUCCACAUAUAAUAUCAUGACACCUUGACAAAUCUUGUGAUUUUCAGACUUCGUUUGCUUUUUUUAGAAUUUAACAACCAUUCAACCACAUGUUCGUGAUCGUGUUUUCUAAAAAAAUGUUCAAAAUUUCUUUUCAUUUCCUGGUUGAGACCUCAAUCCGGAUUGAAUAAUAUGAAUAUGAUUUUUUCACUGAUUUUAAUCCAUUAUUUAAAUCACUUGCAGUUAAAUUUGACUUAAAUAAACAAAUUCCUAUUAAUGCUAUCAAUUCAUUAAAAAUAGCAAACAGAGAAAAAAUAGACCAACUUUUAAGAUGGAUUACCAAAUGUCAUAUGUGGGGAGUAGAAAAAGUGUGGAGAGCAGAGGUGGAAAAAAAAGUUUUGCCUUUGCCAAGUGCCUACACAAACACUCAACAAACUUUGCGGAGUGCCUAUUGAAAACACUCAGCGAACUUCUGAGUUUGCCGAGUGUCUGGAGGGAGCACUCGGCAACCUACUUAUUUGCCGAGUGUCCGCGUCGGACACUCAGCAAAGUACUAACGGCUGGCACACUCCCCUAACGGACGGCGCACGUGCAAGCCAUGUGCUGGAGAUUUAUCGAGUGUCAAAUCGUUGCCGAGUGUCGUGUGGAUGUUUGCCGAGUGUCUUAUUUGUGACACUCGGCAAAGCUAUUGUUUGCCGAGUGUAUUAUUUAUGCCGAGUGUCUUCCAGUAUACACUCGGCAAAUGAUGUCUUUGCCGAGUGCUCGACAUAAAGCACUCGGCAAAAAUUUUACACUCGGCAACAUUCCUGUUUCCGGUAGUGAGUGACCCGGGACUAAAGACCCCCGUUGUCUCUGAUUGCUUUAUUCCGGAUGGAUUUUCAGGAGAUUUGCUCCCUACCAAUAGGGACUAAAGGCAAGUUUUCCACUUAUAGCAAACCAGUUAGCCCAUUGUUGAUGGAACGCAUCACUAGAAACAGCUCGGGAUCCACUUGUCCAAUAAUCGAGAGGGCCUAUAUAUGGACCACGUGUGCGGAUCCCUAAUUAGGAAAAAAGAAUAAUGGAGUAGGACAUCUCCAUGCUCACCUAGUAGCCGCUGCUAGCUUGUGCGUGUGGAACACGAGUGCCGGCCCAGUUGGCGCUAAGACAUCGUACGUGCAUUAAGGCUACGAUCUCUUUCUUCUAACUCAUGCUUGUGCUAUUAUACAUUAUUGCAUGAUCAUCAAGAUAAGAUCGUAUAGUGACUGAGUGAGACAUGUAUGUACUAACAUGCAUUUAAGCCUCGAACUGUGUGUUGUUACGUGAGCUGCCUCCUCACCUCGCCUCUGAAUUAUUGAACCGUUUCCAACAGUGUUGGUCUCAAAUAAAUUUGACACCAAACAGAUUUAUGAAGAAGAGAGAAUAAUACUUGGAAUUGGAAAAAGUUUAUCUCUCUUUACAAUGGAGUAGGGCUCCCUUUUAUAGUGACCCAUAAGCCACUUUACAUUUGGAAAAUGUCCUUCCUCAACCACUACAUUAAUUCCUAGGAUAUGCUGUACAUAAAGGUCAUUUGAGGUAACGUGUACAAAUGAACUCUUCCACAUGGUCACGUUUCUCAUGCCUCCUGUUUUCCAACCUCGAGACAUCAUCUUCACGCCAAGUUGAUCAUCUAGCCUCGAGGCUCCAUCCACGAUCCAGAAUGAACGUCCAGGCUUGAGGCUCCUUCUUCGUUAAGCUUUGUUGAGAACUCAUAACCUCACAUAGUUCUCCUCCGAGUAUUGUUCCCGACUCAGAACACUCGAGGUUUAGCUCAGUUGGAGUUUAGCUAUUACUGUUGCUAGUCACCAGCCUCGAGCCCCUCCAGAAGCAAGGUGAUGCGAGGGUACGAGUUUUACUAUUAAAGGUGUUUCCAUAGAAUGUGCGAGGUUAAAGCACUUGCAGCAAAAGCGUGGAGCUGCUUUCAACCAGAGUGCAAUAAUGCAGCCGUGCCCAUCUUGGUCUUGGUCUCCGCCUGAACUAUAGCAGAUGCUGGCAGCGGUAGCAGGGUGGUCCAUUAUAUCUAUGGAUGGCAAUGGUCGGAUUCGGAUGGAAUCGAAUUCGAAUAGCACUUUUUACCACAUACUAAUUCAAAUCCGAAUUCGGAUUCGGAUGUUCUCGAAUGCGAAUGCAAAAUGGAUGGUUCGAAUUCGAAUACUUAGCGGAUUUUUGCAUAAUAUUAAUCGAAUAGAAUUCAUUAAAUUUAGCCAAGAAAUUAAAUUUUCUGAAAUUAAAUACUUUCCCUUCGCCCCAGCGGCGGCCUAACUCCCAGGACGGUGGCGUGCGGGGCCCGAGCAUCCCUGGCCUCUAGUGGCGUGGCGGGGCGGCAUCCAGCAGCAGCGGCGGGGCUCGGCCUCCGGUGGCGCGCGGCCAGCCCGACCUACCCGGUCAGAGGUGGCGCAGCGGUGCGCGGGCCUCCCCGACCAGAGCCGGUGGGGAGCGGUGCGCGGGGAGGACCUCCCCAGCCGGAGGUAGCAGGGCGCGACCUCCCCGGCCGGAGGUGGCUCCCUGUGGGGGCGCGGCCGUGACAGCUAGCGAGGCAAUAAUUGCUUCCGUACGCAGCAAUAAUUGCUUGUGCGACACCGUGUUAUUACUCUGGUACAGUACUCCCUCCGUUGCAGUACACUGGUCCAGGCGUCAGGACACUGCUCCUGCCCUCGUGGUUCACGUGCAUCAGGCCAGCAGACAAGCUAUGAUGUUGCCAACAGUGUUUGUUUGAACAUGGAGAUGUCAUUGUGAUUGUCAGGGACCCGACACCAUGCAUGCCGAUUUCAUAUUCUUAAUAUUUAUUUUUUUAAUGGUUGUUGAAACUAUAUAGUUACUCCAAUAUCACGUUUCCGAUUAUAAAAAUUAACAUAAAGAGAUCGGAAGGGAGAGCCCGCAUAAUGAAGCCGACGCGUAUAAUAAGCACUAGAGCCGGCAUUUAUACAAACGGGUACGCAUAGUAAAAACUAGAAUUUAUAAAUAAAUGAAGAUAUUCAAAUAUCUGGCUUACUUUUUUCAUUAAUUUUGCAUGAAUAAGGGAUGAUUCAUUAAUCAUUAUUGAACAAAUUGGCACACAUGCUUCGUGCCCGCGUUGUGAGCAUUAUGCGAUGCCACUGAGCUGCACCACCACGGUAGAGGGCCUGUUUGCGAUGCCACCGAGCUGCACCACCACGGCAGAGGGUCUGUUUGGGAAGGGGAAGUUAAAGUUUAACACCCCCCAUUUAACACCUUUUUAACAAAAUGGCUGCUAAACACUUGUGUUAAAAGAGUAGUGUUAAAAUUUAACACCUCUCUUUUCAUAAACACAUGGAGGGGGUGUUAAAAUUUGCUAAAUGUGUUAAAAGUGGUCCCCUCCCCACUUAUUCCUUGGUUGCCCCCCUCUCUCUCCUCCUCUCUCUCCUACCCGCCGCAUUUAAGAGCAUUAUUGAGGGGUAAUGCAGUCCUUUUCCAACAAAAGUGUUAAACUUUAACAACCCUUCCCAAACAUGCCACAAGCAACACCACCGGCUGACUGUGCUAGCGGGGAGCACCCUCACCGCCUGCCCGUGGGGACUUCUUCUGCCGGCCAUCGUGUCUUUGUAGGACCGCCGCGUGAGCCUAUGAGCCACCGGUGGCCGUGCGCCCAAGGGCCAUCACCAUGCCACCUGAGGAUGCUGUCUACCCGGUGCCGCGUGCCUCUGCUAGCUGCUUGCACCUGGGCCGCCGCUGGUCGCCUGCACAGCCACGCGUUACAGCCGCCCCCCUGCGCUGGGCCACCCCAUUUCGUGUUGGAAGAACUGCCACAGUCUCGCGCACUGGGGUUUUGCUAGUGACGACCAUAGCCUCCAAGAUCAAAUGAAAAAGUUGGUACUCAAAACAUACAUCCAUUAAUCUAGUCGUGCUAAUCCUUACCACCAAAUAAAAACUAGCAUGUGUUGUGUUUUUGUGACCCUAAACGAUCACAAAUGAAUAACUUAUGGGCGUUGCUAGCCUAUAAGUUAUGGGCGUUUGUGACCCUAGUCGCGCCGGGGUCUUGCUGGUGACAACCAUGGUCUUCGCGAUAAAGUAUUAAGUCUCAUCGAGUUCUACAAUUUUGAUAUAAAAUUUCUAUUCAUCCGAGAUCAAAUGAAAAACAAAUGAAAAAAUCCGAAGUAUUAGGCUUCAUCGAGCUCUACAAUUUUGAUAUAAAAUUUCUAUUCAUCCGAGAUCAAAUGAAAAAAUCCGAGAUCAAAUGAAAAGUUGGAACUCAAAACAUACAUCCAUUAAUCUUGAUAUAAAAUUUCUAUUCAUCCGACAUCAAAUGAAAAAGUUGGUACUCAAAAUAUACAUCCUUUAAUCUAGUCGUGCUAAUCCUUACCACCAAAUAAAAAAACUAGCAUGUGUUGUGUGUUUCUGACCGUAAACGAUCACAAAUGAAUAACUUAUGGGUGUUGCUAGCGUCCCGGACGCUAGCAUCGGACGCAUGAGCAGCCGUCCGAUCGGGUCCGACACCACUUCACGAUCUGUCUUAAAAAAAAGUCCCACCGAAACAUUGUUCCAUGUUGCAUGAAAUACCCCACUAUCCAUCGCCAGGUCUACAGCAAGCACCACCUUCCAAUCUGCUGCUCACCCAAGCUAAAUAGGGGCAUUAAAAUUGCAGAAAUAUGUCACAUAUCCUUGUCAAAUUAAACUAAAUCGCAACAUCCGAAAAUUUCUUACACAAAACCAUGAAACAUAUCGAUUAGAUAGGUGUAACAAGAUGGAAUAUGGUAUCCAACAUAUAGAUUCCGAAAAACAGAUGAAACAUUAUGUAACGAUUGUUGAAACAGUCGAGAAAUAUAGAUGUAACGAUUAAAAUUUAGAAAAGAAGCUUUAUGCAAAUUGCAAAAAGCUGAAAUAAGUGGUUGAAACAUUUCGAAUCACCAAAUGCCACAUUUGAAAUGGCUACAUGAAACAUCACGAAAUCAAUUGCAACAGUUGAAGAUGAAAACAUUCAAAUGCCUUGCCUUUCUCCAGAUUUGACCCUCCAAGCAUGAGUCCAGCCAUUUGCACAUUAGACCCUUGGGAGGAGCUCACCGGAGAACAACAAGACCGUGUUCUCCAACAAUUUUCUGAUCAAAUUGCAACAGACAAAACAAAGCAUUGCAACAUCUGGCAUCACGAGCUACAACAUCAACAAGUUAGGAUCAGGAGAAAGAGGGAAAACACAAGCCUAACAACCCCAAGACAAAACUGAUGUACUCAUCAUACAUCACGGCUUGCCGUGCACAGAGAUGAAGGCCGCCAAGCUCAAUCGAGACAGAGACGACGUGAUAGUGCUCCAGAUCGACGGUCCCCAUCAAUUGUUGCGUACACUGCCAAAAGCAAUGGAAGAAGAAGGGUCGUCCCUGCUCGACCUCCGUAGAUGAGCGCAGAUUGGGGGAAACCGUAUAGAGUGCCGCUGACAGCACAGGCGAGGGGGCUCAGGCUUGAUUCAGGGUGAGGGUAGCGGGUAGCAUGAGGAGACAGUCAGGUUUCAUAGGAGAGAGGCGGAGUAGAGAGCUCUGGUGACUCGGUGAGGAGGGUGCGGCACGGAGAAAGGUGUGUAGCUGAAGGAGCUACAUGGUUGGGGCGAGGCGAGCGUAGAGACUAGAGAGGGAAAAAAAGCAUGGGGAGGAGACGAUAUGUGGUUGAUGGUGCGGGCACGUGGUGAGCGCACCGUAUGAAAAUUUUGCUCGCGUCGGAUGACUGAUGUGAAGCAUUACCCAAUCUUAAUUAUCUCCCAUAAUCCAAAACUCACAAAAACAUCAAAAAUCCGCCGAGAAUAAAUUAAGUAAACCAUGCACACACAGAUAAUAAAAUUGCUAAUAAGGCCAGAGAUAAUACAUGAACAUAUUAGACUGUUCAUGACACAUAUCACGGUGGAUAGUGUCUGUGUCCUUAUUACAAGCAAUGAGAGAUGCUUGUCACCACACACACGCGCACAGAUGCAUGACAUACAUAUAGUUGAGACCAACAGAUGGAUCAACUAGAGGUCACCCCAUAUGGUGAACAAUUUAUUGGAGAUAAACAUUAACAUAACUUGGCCAUAGCUUGAAGCAUAGCAACAUAUGCCUAUGAAUGGCGUUCAUGCUAUCGUUUUAGGCUUGUCCAGCUUCUUUCAUCUUAGCAAGCACUUCCAUUUCUACCAUCUUAGCAGCAACUGUCAAAUUGAGAUAUGGAAAUCCCAUUAGCGCAUGAUUAAUUUUGCAGUGGAAAUAGAGUGCAAGAUAUCUUCAUGAUGUAAAUAACAUGCCUGAAGUUGUGAGAUGGGAAGUGAAGUCAACAAAUUACAUUAACGGAAAUGCAUGGAAGGCCACACAUACGUAUUAGUCCAUAAUACGCUACAAAGCUUGUAUGUACAUAUAGCAAAUUAAAUGCAUUAAUUGAAUAGAGUGAGUUUAGUGAAUUUACCAGAAUCGUCCAGAAAACAUGGGAAACAGCAAGUGUGCUUGCAGACUGUGUCGGAGCCACCCACACGAAUACAAAGCUGACAACAUGCUUGUGCCUCGUGGGAUACGCAGCAGCCGCACUGUGCCGCG